GUUUGUUCGGAACUCAAGAACAAGAUGGAAGAAACAAGUAGUAUUUUUGUGUUUAUUCCAUUAAAAAAGAAGAGAAAUCUAAUUCGGGGGAUGGAUUCAAAAUUGUAUAAGAUCAGCGAUUUACCAGAUUAUCGUAUGGGUAAGUUCAAUCACAUCAUCUAACUUAGUUUUCAUUUUGUUAUUACAGUACAGAAUCUUUUUCAUUUGUGUUUUGUUCAAUUCAUAGAUGAAGAUGAUGAUUCCCAUACACAUGAACACCUUAACUCUAACUGCACACUGUACUAAAACUAGAAUCAGAUAGUGGUUGUGCAUUUGGAGGAGUAUCCUAUAUGCUAAUGUGUUCAAUCAUGUUUCCAUAGUUUUUCAUAAAAUAAUCGCGCACUUCUCCUUCUCCUAUAGGAUAUCCUCUAGAGCAUAUCAUCGUCAUAGUCAUGUGAUCAACAGGUUGCUGAAAAUGCUCCUUGAAGACUAUAUUUGUUUUCAUUUUUUUUAUUUUUUUUUUUUGGUACAGUUUUGUUGAUAGAUGAUGAUGGUAUAUAAGAAGAAUUAAUUAAAUUUAUAUGUUAUUAAUAAGAAGAAUUAAUAAAAUGCUCCUUGAAUGUGUUUAAUGACUCAACCUUGUUUACCUUUAAUUUAUUACUACAAUUUUUUUUUCAUUUAUGUUUUGUUAAUAGAAGAUGGUAUAUAAGAAGAAUUAAUUAAAUUUACAGCAAUUUGGGCCCAAGGACAAAUUAUAAGGUUUCAUUAGGCCCAAGGACACCAGAAACGUUUCUUUAGGCUGAAGGACAAGCCUGUAUAAUGACGCAUAUACCCUGCUAGUGUUUUAGUAACCGUAAAGAAUAUAACACCGCGGGGCGGGGUUUUUUGUUUUUUUUCUUUUAAUUUACAAACAAAACCUAAUUUCUUAUUCCUUCUUUCUUUUUUUUUUCUCUUCUCUCUCUCUCCCUCUCUCUCUUCGUCUAUCUCAACUGUCAAAUUUCAUCUUGAUUUCUUAGGAUUUACUUCAAUUUCUAAGAAUUUCUCUUCGAUUUCUCUUGAUAAAAGUCUGAUUCUUCGAUUUCUCUUGAUUAAAAGCCUGCUUUCUUCGAUUUCUCUAGUUUCUCAUCGAUUUCUCUUGUUUCUCUUCGAUUUCUCUGGUUUCUCUUUAAUUAGAAGUCUUUUAUUUUCGAUUUCUCUGGUUUCUUUCGCAUUACUGUUACUUGUUUUAUUUUAUUUUCCGCUACUUUUCUUCAAAUUUCUAUAAUGACAAGAAUAAAAACUUGUACAAAAACUGGUCCUUAGGCCAAAAAAGAUAAGAAAGCGACAAUGCGAAAGAAGCUUAAAGCUAUUGAACAACAAGAACAAGCACGCAACAAAGAUUACGAAUCUAAGGUAAAUUUCUUGUUUUUCUUUUUAAUAACUUUUUUAGAUUUUUUGUUUUAUUUUAAUAAAGUAGAUGAGUAAUGUAUUGUUCAAAAUUUAUUUCAAGAAAUCAUCAAUCUGUAUAGUUGAUUAAUAUGUUAAUCAACUGUACAGAAUGAUUAAGUGUUGAUUUCUGUAUAGUUGAUUAAUGAUUAAGUGUUGAUUUCUGUAUAGUUGAUUAACAUAUUAAGUGUUGAUUUCUGUAUACUUGAUUAGUCUAUAGUUGAUUAACAUAUUAAGUGUUGAUUUCUGUAUAGUUGAUAAAUGUAUAGUUGGUUAACAUAUUAAGUGUUGAUUAAGCAUUAAGCAUUAAGUGUUUGUUUCAUUAAGCAUUAAGCAUUAAGUGCUUCUUAAGUGGUGGACCAGGUUAAAAUUCAAAAAUAAGUGUUUUUUAAGUUGUUUGUUUAGAACAAACAUUAAGAACUAAAUGGGAUAUUUCAGCGAUUUUGGCCCAGCGAAAAUCUCACGCUUAAUUUAACUUCUUAAUGCUUGUUGUAUUAUUUAGACAAUUCUACCCUUAUAAAAAUUGUUUUUAUCAUCCAUAACCAUUAAGUAAUAUCACAGUCAGAUUCAUUGGCUUAGUUAAUGGUCUUUCCUUUGUCUGAUCACUUUGAAAUUUUUACCAUAAGUUCCUGAAGAUUUCUGUUAUAUAAUAUCUAAAAUUUAGAAUUUUUAGACGAUCGGUUUGAAAGUUACAGAUUUUUUUGUGGUUGUUAUGUUUUAUAAGAAAAAUUACGUUACAGUCAGAUUCGUUUGCUUAAUAAGGGGACUUUCUUUUGUCUGAUCAUUUUAAAAGUUUUACUAUAUGUUCCUGACGAUUUCUAUUGUAUCAUAUCCUAAAUUUGGAAUUUUUAAACGAGUCGUUUGAAAGUUACAGAUUUCUUUGUGAUUGUAAUGUUUUAGAAGAAAAAUUACAGUAAGAUUCGUUUGCUUAGUAAAGGAUCUUUCCUUUGUCUGUUCACUUUGAAAUAUUUUCCAUAUGUUCAUGACGAUUUCUGUUGUACCAUAUCCAAAAUUUAGAAUUUUUAGACGAGCCGUUUAAAAGGUUGAGAUUAUUUUUUUUAAAUAUCAUGUUUCAGAAGAAAAAUUGGCGUGUAUAGUUUUGUUGUUAGAACAUUUUUCUGUUUGUACGACGUAACAAUAUAGUGUAGUUACACAAAUAUUUUGGUUAAGGGUGAAACAUUCUCAUCUGAAGCACAACACUGAAUGGUCAACUUGCACAACCAGAGUGCAAAUCAACUUUAGGUUUUUGGGUUAUGUGAUAAGGUACUGUGUAUUGUCAAAAUAUUUUUUCAAUAAUAGGGUAACAUGGUCAAAAUCACACUUAUGCAUAAACAAACAAAUCAAAAACAGAACUUCUUAAAAAUGAUAACCAAACAACUUUUUCAGCAUUCAGUGUUCAGCAUCCAGCAUUAAGUAUCCAGCAUUCAGCAUUUUAAACAAACACACCCUAAGUGUUGAUUUCUAUAUAGUUGAUUAAUGUAUUAAUCAUUGAUUUCUGUAUAGUUGAUUAAUAGUUGACUAAUGAUUCAUUCUUUUCAGGAGAGUGCACCUGAAGAACCACAUAAAUCAUCUCGAAAACGUAAAUAUUUCACAAGAUCAUCAUCUAAGAAAUCACCUAAACCAAAACCAACAGCGAAAAAGAGGAAGAAGGAUAGUGAGCCAAAUGUUGAAUUUCUAAAGAAGAAGAAGAAGGAUACUUCAUUCUUCAGAUGUUCCAUGGAACCUCUUAGAAGUUUAGCUGCAACGAUAAAGAGCAAGAUGAGUGUUGAACAUCUGCAGUUUUUAGAGGACACAAAAUUUGGAAGUCUGUACAAUCUCAUGCAUCUUGGUAUGAUUGAACCAUGCAAGCCAAAGAAUGAAUCAUUUAGAACAGCGAUCUUCUGCAUUCUCAAUUGCUACUCACCUGAAGACUGUGGUUUUAGGAUUGGGAAUAAGAUGAUGAAGUUUAGAGUUGAAGAUGUGGCAGUUCUGUUUGGUUUGAUGGGUUGUGGAGAGGUUAUUGAAAAAAAAGCAUGCAGUACUGACAAACAUCGUAAAAUCGCUUUCAUUAGUAACAACUUUACUGAGGAUAUCGACGAUGUUACAAAGGAUAAGGUGAUGAACAAGAUUCUAACACUAGUGGAUGAAGAUAGACACAAGAAGGAAGACCUUGGAUUCCUCAUCAUCAUCUACAUGUUCAUCACCGUAUUUUUCUCAAAUUCAGCGAGCAGGGCUUUGUGGAAUCACUUGAAGCAUCUUGACAGCUUGAAGGGGAUGAAUUCUGUUAACUGGGCAGAGGCUGUUCAUUUCUUCCUUGUAAACAAGUUGAAUGAAAAUCAUCAGAGGAAAAACUUGCCAAUAGGACACAAGAAGCGGCAGGAAGAAACUAUUAGUUAUAAAUAGUUCAUUAAUAUGUUAAUCAACUGUACUAUUAGUUGAUUAACUUAUUAAUCAACUCGACUAUUUAUUAAUCAACUCCACUAUUAGUUAUAAAUAGUUGGUUAAUAUGUUAAUCAACUUUACAAGUAGUUGAUUAACAUAUUAAUCAACCCCUCUAAUAUAAGUUGAUGAAUAUUAAUCAACUUAUAAAUAGGUGAUUAAUAUAUUAAUCAACUCCAAUAUUACUUGAUAGCUGUAUUAAUCAACAAACACUAGUAUUUGAUAACUGUAUUACAUGUUUUCUGUUUUAGUUAUAUAUUGUUGAUUACUUUCUCUUCUAUUCUGUUCAGUUGAUUAGUAUGUUAAUCAACUCCACUAUUAGUUGAUUAACAUAUCAAUCAAUUUUUCUGCUAUAGUAUACUGUUCUUCAUUAUUUUCUCUUAUGUUUUGUUUAGUUGAUUAACAUAUUAAUCAACUCCACUAUUUGUUAAUCAAAAGAAACUAUUAGUUAUAAAUAGUUCAUUAAUAUGUUAAUCAACUGUACUAUUAGUUGAUUAACUUAUUAAUCAACUCGACUAUUUGUUAAUCAACUCCACUAUUAGUUAUAAAUAGUUGAUUAAUAUGUUAAUCAACUUUACAAGUAGUUGAUUAAUAUAUUAAUCAACCCCUCUAAUAUAAGUUGAUGAAUAUUAAUCAACUUAUAAAUAGGUGAUUAUUAUAUUAAUCAACUCCAAUAUUACUUGAUAGCUGUAUUAAUCAACAAGCACUAGUAUUUGAUAACUGUAUUACAUGUUUUGAUUUACUUACAGGUGAUCAAAGAGCUUUCUGAAUUAAGUGAUGAAGAGAAAAAAUUGAUAAAACCAAGUACGAAUGACGUCGAAGAAGAAACUGAUGAUUUAGCUAAUGAAGUCGAAGAAGAAACUGAUGAUUUAGCUACUGAUAAUCGACGGCUAAGAGAAGAGAAUGAAGAACUGAAAAGUGUGAUUCAGCAGUUACAAACUGAAAUUGAAAAGCUGAAAAAUAAGGAUGAUGACAGUGAAGAUGAUGAGGAGGAGGAAGAAGUUGUUGGACAUGAUGUUGGACAUGAUGCUGAUGAUGAAGAUGAGGAAGAUGAUGGGGUUCAAAAGCAUGAAACAAAAAAGAUGGAAGUGAAGAUGAUGACAGUGAAGAUGAUGAUGAUGAUGGACAUGAUGAUUACCAUGUUGAAAAGGUUGGAGAAAAAAAUGAAGAAAGAAAACAUGAAAGUGAAAAUGUUGAGGAAGAUGAUGAUGGAACUGAUAAUGAGGAGGUUCAAAAGGUUGAAGAAAAUAAUGAGGAGACAAAAACUAAUGAUGAGGAUAAAAAUGAUGGAGAAAAGAUUGAGGAGCAAGUUGAUUGGGAUAAUGUUGAUAGGGAUAAUGAGGAUAGCCUUGAUAUGGAUAGUAUUUUCAAGCUGCACAUAAUGCAACCACAUGAACUUGGUGAGGAGGAACCAACAUUGGGGAAAAGGAAGGUCCGUCCAAGUUCAAUGGUAAAACGAGUCAAGGAGAGGACUGAACAAAAAAAGAAGGAAAAUGAGGUUAUAAUAACAGAAGAUGAAAUGGACCUAGGAAAUGAAGAGGAAAUAAAGGUUCCUCUAGCUGAUUGGAAAACAACCAAAUACUAUCAAAUGUUACCAAGAGAAGAACAAGAGGUGCUAGAUAAAUAUGUGAAUGAUGUCAAGGAUGGAAGGUAAUGUUGUAAUUUCUUUAUUAAAAAACUAUAGAUUAGUAGAUUAAUCAUUAUUAUUAUUAAUGUUCUAAUUAUCUUAAUAACUGCAGCACUAUGACAUGGCAGUCACUAAACCAGGAAAUUAUCGUAACAGCUUCCCAGAUCAAUGAUCUUAUGACUGGGAAAUACAUCGAUUACCAGGUAAGUUUCUCUUGACUUUAUAUUUGAUAAAUUUCCAUUACAUUCAGUAAAGCUUACAAGACAUAUCGAAUCAUUUCUUUUUUAUUAUCUAUAUGUAAAAGAUCAUUGAUUGGUAUGGACGAAAGGUUCUAAAUCAAUAUGAGAGCUUCAGAGAAAUUGAGCCAUUUCAAAGAGGAGUUGCCAUCUUCUCGGCUUAUGCAUGGGUAAGUAAUUUUCAAACUCAUCCUUUCUGAUGAAGUUGAUGUGUAUAUUAAUCAACUUAUAACAUUUGAAACAGACAUGGUUGCGCGACUUUAAAGGGCAGAAGAGAAGAAAGAAAACAAAUUCAGGUGAGAUUCAAAAUAAGGAAGACAUGUACUGGAAGGAAGUGAUUGAAAAAUUCAAUGGAAAGGAGAAACUCUUUUUGUUUCCAUUAAACACUUCAAGAACUGCUAGAGACAAGGCUGGGUAUCAUUGGAGUCUUCUUGUGCUCGAGAAAGGUUUUGGAUGGACUCUUUAUAACUCUCUUGCUGGAAACAAAGCUUUCAACAAGUGUAUUCUGAGCAAUUGUAAAGCCAUUGUGAGUUAACUUUCUUAAACUAUUGUAGUUUUGUAACAAUUUUAUAAUGAUUUAGAAUUUUACCGAAGUUUAAACAUUUGAAACAUGCCAAAUAUGUCACUCCUUUGCUGGACAAAAAACUAAUCAAACCUGGAGAUGUUUGUUACAAAGAUGGUCCUAUAAAUGAAGCACCUGAUUUACCGCAUCAAGGCUCUUCGUAAGCUUUAGAAUUUUGAAUUGUUAUUCCUUAUUACGAUGAAUGCAAUUUGAUUUAUGCAUUAAUUAAAUAUUUCAGGGUGGACUGCGCAUUGUUUGUUAUCAAAUUCAUGGAGCACGCAAUUCCUGAAUGUGAAAUAUUUCGUCAGACUAUGGAGUGGAAACAAUAGACUUGAUGAGGGAUACAAUAGCAUAUGAACUACUGACUGAACCGGGACUAAGUAUUAACAAGGAAGUAUGGGAUGAACAACAAUUUCUAGUUUCCCUUGAUGCGGCUGAAAAAAAGAUACUUGAAGAGAAAGAAAAGGAAAAGGCAGCAGUUCAAACAAUUAUAAAUUUAGGUGUUCAAAAGUCAGAAUAGUUGAAAAUGAAUUACCCCGAAUUCGAGGUCCUGACUUUUUGUGUUUUGAAACUGUCAAUAGUACGUAUAUGUUAUGAAUACGAACAAGUUUUAUAUAUUUCUGUUAUUUUGUAACAACUGAAUUCUCAUGGUUAUAUCAAUGGAAAUGUUAUUUUGCUUAUUUUCUAGUGUUUAAAAUGGUUGUUAAUUUAAUUUAAAUUUUAAUAGGAUGGAAUUGUUAUUUGCCUAUUUUUUAGUGUUUAAAACAUAGUUUGAUUAACAUAUUAAUCAACAUAACCAUAGUUGGAAUGGUGAACCCUAGUGGAAUGCUGUCAUAAGUACCCCUUAAUGCUGUCAUUCUAAAACCCUAGUUGGAAUGGUGAACCCUAGUGGAAUGCUGUCAUAAGUACCACUUCAUGUUGUCAUUCUAAACCCUAAUUGGAAUGGUGAACCCUAGUGGUAUGCUGUCAUAAGUACCCCUUAAUGCUGUCAUUCAUUAACUUCUGAAAACAAUUUUCCCGAUUACAAUAAAGUUGAUUAAUUGAUUAAUCAACAGUUCAGUAAACUUUCAUAAAAACAACUAAGUUGAUUAAUACAUUAAUCAACCGUUCAGUUAACUUGCAUAAAAAAACUAAGUUGAUUAAUACAUUAAUCAACAGUUCAGUAAACUUUCAUAAAAACAACUAAGUUGAUUAAUACAUUAAUCAACCGUUCAGUUAACUUGCAUAAAAAAAACUAAGUUGAUUAAUACAUUAAUCAACAGUUCAGUAAACUUUCAUAAAAACAACUAAGUUGAUUAAUACACUAAUCAACCGUUCAGUUAACAUGCAUAAAAAAAACUAAGUUAAUUAAUACAUUAAUCAACAUUCCUUAGUUGAUUAACUUAUUAAUCAACUUCAUGAAAAAAAUCAAUCAUUAAUGGAUCAGAAAACUUUCUCAAAACUAAAACAAUGAAUUAUAUUGUAGGAACUGAAUUGUAAUGUCAUAACAAGUGAGGAAAAAAAACAAUCUAAACUUUGAUGAAAAACAAAUCAUCAAAUACAACUAAAACCUUACUGUUGUUCAGAUAUGGGCAAGUCCUCCUAUUGUGACGACCAGUAUUAAGACAACUGAAACACUUCUGAGCUUUGGGAUGCUUUCUUAAACCGGUGUUUGGAAUCCUUUUCGUCUUUGGCCUCCCAGGACCUCUUUUAACAUCUGGAGGAAGUAUACGCACAGAAUCAACAUCAUCUUCUGGUUUGUCCUCAUCCGAAAUCGGCUGAAUUGCAUGCGAGUAUGUAUUUCGGAAUGUGCUAACAUAGUAAUAAGGUUGAAUAUAAUCGUAUAUUCUUUCUCGAUCACCUUUUGCAACUAUAGCAGCCACAACAUGCUUACAAGGGAAUCCAUCUAUUCUCCACUUUCGACAAGAACAUAUCAUAUCCCGAAGAUGAACUGAAUGUUGUUUAUGCGCCAACACUUCAUAAACAAACUCGCUUGACUUUAUCACUUUUAAAGGACGUGCUUCCUGAAUCCUUAAUUCUAAAAGUUCUUCCAUUUUAGGACAUAACACAGAAUUCCGCUUCAAAGAAUCAUCACGCCUAUCCGACAUCAUUUUCAUCACUCGUUGCCUAAUUCUAUCCAACAUAGUACAAAUAGGCAUGGACCUCUCUUGGAUUAUCCAAUUGUUGAAACUCUCAGCAAUGUUCGAACAUAAUUCACUGUAACGUUCACCAAGGAAGUAGGCAUUCGCAAAUUGCUGAGUAGGCAAUGUUUCCAAGAAUUUGAAAGCCUUACUACCCCCAGAAUUCAAUAAAACUUUCAAAUGUUCAAUAUAUUUCAAAUGAGUCUUUGCAUAGGCACAUUUGCCGAAAAUAUCCUUAAGACUAUCAGCACAUCUUCCAACAACAGAAGCAAGAUUAUUUUUGAGAUGCCACAAGCAAAAACUGUGAUAACAAUUGGGGAAAACCAAUGGAACAUUCUUCACAAGGGAGUGAUGGCGAUCAGAGAUAAAGGUUAUAGGCCUAUCCGUAGACACGACAACUUUCAAAUUCUCCAAAAACCAAAACCAGUUGGAAUCAUUCUCCACAUCAACAAUAGCAAUAGCUACUGUAAACAUACCUAAAAGACAGCAAGAACAUUGAUUAACACAUUAAUCAUCCAAACAUGGUGAAAUUAACCCUAUAAAGCAUAUCAAAUUGAUUAAUAAAGAAAUAAACUACUUACUAUACACUUUCAGGAAAAAAAAUUAUACCUUGAUCACCAUUCUUUGCUGUCGCUGACAAAAGACAACCUUUAUACUUGGACUUCAUAAAAGUUCCACCUAGGCAAAGUAUAGGCCUACAAAACUUAAACCCAUGGAUGCAUGCUUCAAACGCCACAAAAAAACGACUAAAUUUUUUCGUCGCUCUUUCAACUUCUAAAACCACACGGCUACCAGGGUUACUUUUCAUAAUUUCAUCACCAUACCAGAUUAACUGAUUGUACAACAAACCAGCAUCUCCAUAAAUUUGUUUAAUCACCAACAGUCUAGCACUAUAAGUAAAAUAAUAUUUUAACUCAAGUCCAUAAUCACUUUUAAAUCUAUUCAUAAUGUCCUUUGGUGAAGUCGUAAUUUUAUCACUCACCAUACUAAGUAUUAAACUCAUCACCAGCUGACUUGACACAUUGGGAUUCUCAUAAUCUUUACAAGCAUUGCCACAAGUAUGUUUUUCCCCCAUCUCCUUCAACCACAUACGUCCACCAUCUGUACUAAAGGACUUUGCAUAGAUCAUCCACUUACAUUUAUCUUUUUCAUCAACACAUUUACCUUCUUCCAUAGCCUGUUUACAAACAGCUUUGACUCUAGUCUUGGAAUUCUUCAAAAACCCAUAUUUGAGCCCAAUUUCAAUAGAAAACUGUCGAAGCUUGUUUCGGACCUCAAUAGCUCCUCCUUCAAAUACCUGACCAACACCAGUAAAGACAAACUCCCAAUCCCUAGUCUUUAAACCUAGCAAAGAAAUUUCAUCAUCAUAAUCAAUGCAAGAAGAACUACUACUUGGUCCGACAUCACAAUGAACAAUGUCAAUAGACAUCUUCUUCAAACAAACUAAAAGUUCAACAACUCUCUGUCCAUUCUUAUUGCAAAACCACACCAAAGAUUGACGCUCAGCAUCACCAAAAAUUUCAUGAUGUUUACCAUAACGAUCGUAGGUGAGAAGAAACACUAAAGGAGACAAAUCCUUAAAAUUUUGGCAAAUAGCAUCCUUUAAACUAGCCAAUGUACUAUCACACGUGAGCUCAUAGGGGAAAGUUUUUUUGUUAUACUUGAUUACCCCAAGAACAACACCAUUAGCAACCUCAGUUGAAACAACACUAUCACAUAAUUGCACAUCUGUAUAAAAAAAGUAUCAUGUACAGUUGAUCAAUACAUUAAUCAACAAAUUGCUGUAAUAUAAAAAAUUUGUAUUUUAUCGCGACAUUAAUCAACACAUUAACAUAGUACUCAAUAUUAAUCAACCUAAAUACUCAAAACAGAAAAGAAACAACAAACAAAACUGUUGAACGAUGACUCGUUCAACAUAAAAAAACACUAAGAAAUCAAACACAAAAACAAGAAUUGCUAAAUUAUUAAUCAAAACAGGAAUUAAGAACUCAACAAACUAAACUGUACAAUCGUUAAUCAUAACCAUCUCGAAAUCCAGUUGAGAAAUUAAUCCAAAAAAUCAGUUGAUAACACACAAAAAACUGAUCUCAAAUCGAAUUUCAAACUAAAAACACGAAUUCAAACUUCAAGAUCUGCCAUUAAAAGCUUCAAUUACACUGAAAACUGAACUCUCACGAAUGAAACGAAUUGUGAAAUUGAAUUGAAUUGAACUGAGAAGAUCUUGCCGAAUUGAAUUGUGAAAUCAAAAACCUAAAAGGAAAGCGAAUGAAGGUUUCACGAAAUCUGAACUCUUUCUAAUGAAACGAAACCGCAAAUGAAACGAAACCGCUUUCCAAAAUCUCAAAACACGAUCUAUAUAUAUGGUUAAUAUAAGGGUAGUUCAGGUAUUAUGAAAGAGAGAAGAACGCAAUUAUACGCGACUUUGUCCUGGAAACAAAAUUACAUUCCGUACAAUUGGACUUUUAGUAAACCAAAACAAAACCGGUGUCCUUGGGCCAACAAAACCAAGACUACGGACCAGAGCCCAAACAAACGUUCCUAUUUGGACUCUGGACUAGUUUUUUGUUAAAUUUAUAGGGGUUUUUAGUUUUUGGCCCAUCUAAAUAAUACGUAUUUAAGAUGUAGGACGCUUUUAAUCCAUAUUUAGAGUAUGGGACACCCUCCGUCAGUUGACUGCGUUGACCAUAAACGAAUGCGUUAGAUUUUUCAGAAACCCAUUUCUACCCCUGCACGUGCUGAGCACGAGAUAUAAAACAACAUUAAAAAUAUUUGAGGUUUUUAGUUUUUGGUCCACCUAAAUAAUAUGUAUUUAGGAUGUAAGACACUUUUAAUCCAUAUUUAGAGUAGGGGACGCCCUCUGUCAGUUGACUGCGUUGACCUGUUGGAUUUUUUCAGAAACUCAUAUUUAUCACCAUUAAACUAUACAGAACAUAAAGGAUAUUAUUUGAAUUGAAAUCUUCAAAUCCUCAGAACAUCUUGAAUCCCUUACCCUUGAGCUUUUGCCCAACGUGAGAAUUGAUAGAAUUACACCGUCUCAUUCGUGGUAUGGGAUGCUAGAAGCAGAUAAUUACGUGGUUGUACCAUCCAUGCAAAUCUCAUGAACAACGCCGAAUAAACACACAAUACUACAACAUAAGGUCAAAAGUGAAAAUUAAAAUAACAUAACUAAUUAAGUAUUCACAGGUUUCAAAGUCAUAGAAAUGAUUACCUCCAGUCGUAUUGGCAGAUAUGAGUUCUGGGGGUUUCUGCGCGUCGACUAAUCCCUGUUAAAGCCACCGAUUAAACAAAAUUAUUAUUGAGCCAACACAAAAUGAUAAAGAAUAAUAUUACUAAGCCUCCAAGAAAUCAUCUUACAGUAAGAAAAAUCUUAUGCUAAUAACAAAUUAUGCUUGUUAUACAAACUCAAAAGGAGUUUUUAGUUUUUGGUCCACCUAAAUAAUACGUUAUGGUCAACGCAGUCAACUGACGGAGGGUGUCCCAUACUCUAAAUAUGGAUUAAAAACGUCUUACAUCCUAAAUAUGUAUUAUUUAGGUGGGCCAAAAACUAAAAACCCUUUAUAUUUUUAAUGUUGUUUUAUAUCUCGUGCUCAGCACGUGCAAAGGUAGAAAUGGGUUUCUGAAAAAUUUAACGCAUUCGUUUAUGGUCAACGCAGUCAACUGACGGAGGGCGUCCCAUACUCUAAAUAUGGAUUAAAAACGUCCUACAUCUUAAAUAUGUAUUAUUUAGGUGGGCCAAAAACUAAAAACCCCAAAUUUAUAUGGUAUUACAGGGAAUUUGUUUACUUGCAUCCCCUGGUUGCAAACAUUAUGCAACUCAAAGAAAAGUUCGAUGUCCAUGUGUAGAUUGAUAGUAUGCUUAAAGUUACCUCUGAAUAGAGGUGAGAGCCAAAGGUCAUGAGCUGGGAGGCGAUGGUUAUGCUUUAAGAUUUUCCAUAAAUAGAAGUUUCUCUUCUAAUCAUUCUGACGACAACCACAUAUAUCCUAAAUAUCAUACGAUAUUCAAUAUAGAAAGAUAAAUUGUCGACAAACAUUGGAGUAAAGAGCUUUCAAUCAUUCACAAUGUGCUCGAAGUUAAAUCUGGAUUGAAUUCGGAGCCAAUGAUUAUGUGCCAUGAGUUCCAGUGAGAUAAUGAAGCUUAAACACCCUCAAGUGGAAUUGCACACCAUUAUUGUUUUUUUUUUUUUUUAUUAAACAAAGUAUCCUAUGUAUCUAUGUAUGUAUAUGUAUACUAAAGAGAGCUCAUGUCUGACUAUUGAACUUGUGGUUAGAAUAUAGCAACUACACACAUCCAAAACAUCAUUUUUGGCUAGAUUGUGCACACAUUGGGCUCCUAGUGGUUGUGCAUUUGGAGGAGUAUUCUCCAUGUGAAUAUGUUCAAUCACGUCUCCAUAUGCUUGAAGUUACAUCUGGAUAGAGCUGGGAGCCAAUGGCCAUGAGUUGGGAGCUGAUGGUUAUGCUUUAGGUUCCUAUAAAGUAGAAUUAAACCCUUAAGUGGAAUUGCAAGGCAAUAUUUUUUUUUUUUUAUUACUCUAUGUGUACUAAAGAACACCUGUGUAACUACUGAAAUUAUGGUUAGAAUAUAGCAACUACACACAUCCAAAACAUUAUUUAUGAUUGUUCAUAAAUUGUACGGAGUGAAUUAAUAUGUAUUUUAUAUCUAUUGUAUUGGCCCAACCUAUCCCAAUAGGUGUGUCUUUCGCUAAUCGACACAUACUUUGUAAACACCCUUUCCAGACGGAUGUGUUUAGGGUUUAGGGUUUAGGGUCUAUCCGAAUAGAUAUGUACUUUGUAUUGGGGCAUAGGGUCUAUUCAAAUAGAUAUUGUGCAUUUUUUAAAAAGGUGUCUAUCCUACUGUAUAAGUGUGUCUUGUGUUGAUUUUUUUUCAGUCGAUUAGUAUUUUUGUUUUCAAGUGUUUAUGUUCUGUCAUUAAAGUGUGUCUUUAUGUAGACUAAGGUUGCCUACUGAACUUGUGGUUGGCAUAAAGCUUGAUUUUUGCUUGUUUCUUAUUGAGUUAAGGUUAGUGCUAAAUUCUGUUUUGAUUGACUAUGCAUAGAUGAUGCUUAAUUUCUGAAGCUCUUACUAAAGUUUGUAAGCAACGGGAAUUUUUAAAGUUCCAUUUUUAUAUUGUCAUCUCAAAUAUGGUUCUGAUAAAUUGAUUAGCAAGGUUAGAUUCUGUUUUUUUUUUUUUUUCAUUUCAUCAUUGAAGAGUGAAAGUCUGCAAGUUGUAUAACGAAACAGCCACACUUUCGUAGGAUGCGGUUUCUAAUGACAGAAGUUAGCGCCCAAUUUUUCUCUGAAGAAAUUGAUCUCAAACAUUUUUUUUUUUUUUGAUAAGUUUUUGCUUUAUUAAAAAUCAUAAACGGUUACAAUAAAGUUUUUGAACAUUAGCAAGAAGCUAUAGCCCCCCCAAAAAAAAACCAACAAACAUUACCCCAGUACGCAACUCGUUAACCCGACACGAACCAGACCUGAGAUAAACAGGUUUGGGUUUAGUCUUAUCGGGUUUUCGGGUCAUUUUGACCCGAACCUGUUAGACCCGUUUAUAAACGGUCAGGUUCGGGUUUGACCACUAACAGGUCGGGUCAACCCGAAACCCGUUUAAAAUUAAUAUUUUUUAUUUCUAGUUUUUGAAAUCACCUCUCUUUUUCAUCUCUUCUCAACAAUCGUUUUCUUUCUUCUUCUUUAACUAAGGAGAAAUAUAUAGUAGUAAUGAAUUGAUUAUAAAAACUUGUUUGUUGGUGGUUCUUAUUUUCCUAUAUCGAAGUUAGAGAUUGUGUAAAUAUUUUUCUUGUUUUUCAAUUGAUUUAUUUUGGGUUUAAGGAACAUGAUGUUUUAAUUAAUCAAUUAAAAUCAGAUUAGUGUUUUUUUAUUUUUAGAACUCAAGUUGAUGUUUUGAUCAUGUUUAUAAUUGGUUUUAAUGUUAACGUUGAUUGUUUUACCGUGCCCUUGUUUUUCAAUAUUUUUUUUUUUUUGAAUUUUGUCUUUUACUAAUAGUUUUAAUUUUUGAUGAAAUUAAGAUUUAUAUUAAAUAUCGAUUAUCAUGAAUAUCAAUUAUAAAUAACAGUAGUAGAGAUAGAAAGAAAUAAUUAAUAAAUCUGAAGCGGGUUUAAACAGGUCAACCCGAACUCGACCUGUUUAAUUAGCGGGUCAGGUUCGGGUUUAGGAAAAAAACUAAAUAGGUUAACAGAUCAGAUUUAGGAAAAAAACACAUCAAGCCGUUAAGACCCGACACGAACCUGACACGACCCGACCCGAUUGCCACCCCUAGUCCCAUUACACCCCCAUCCCCUGUAAGAUCCAUUGCCACUUGUUGGUCCAUUCCCCAAAUUUUCAAAUUAAAGCUGACUUUAUAGUACAACAGGAGCAGACCCAUGUGACUUCACAAGACCUUAAGCCACGUCAUCAUCUUCUUCUCCAAACACAGCAAACUCCGGUGCGACUUCCGGCAGAGACCCCUUCUCCAUUGCUUCCAGUCCUUCCUUUUUUCACCUUAAAGAAAAGCUCCAAAGUCCCCCCUGCUUGUAAGAUGGAAGCUCAGACCAACUUAGAUCGUUGAAAACCAACAACACCCUGCUCACCGACGCCUACACCACCCGAAAACCGGCUUAAUUUCAACCCAAAAAUCUAUUCCCCCUUUAACAUCCACCCCCAUCUACACCAUCACUACCAACUAGGUUGUGUGCAGCCCCACUACCAUGACUGAAACCGGCACUCGGUUGUUUACAUUUAUUUUGUGACAUUGGAUGUCCAUGGUUAUCUCGCCUUGAGUUCAUUGUUAAGAAAACCUCGUUGUAUUCGCGUCAUCCCGAGUCUUUGUCUUCGCGUCUAGUGUAUCAAAAGUGUGUUUUUGGUUUAGGACGUACGUACGUCCCACAGGUCAGCAAACUUUCAAUCGUGUUGAACGUACGUACCGAGUUAGGGCGUACGUAUGUUAGGUUAGGCAGCAGGAAAGUUUUUGUUCAGGACGUACGUAUCUAGUUAGAGCGUUCGUACGUCCAAGCAGUCAGCAAAUGUUUGUCGUAUGGGGACGUACGAACGGUGUUUCGACGUACGUACGUCCAAUAUGGAUUUUGUUAAAUUCCGGCCCAUUUCUUGUGUACUCCAACCCUAAGUAUAAAUAGGGUUUCUCUUCCAAAGAAUGAGUUAGUUCUUUGGCCGUCUAUUCCUUGGAGUUUUGUUUAGGUUUUGUGUUGAAAUUGUUUUGGUUAAUGAACUCAAUUCUCUUUCUUCCUAAUUCAUCAAUUCCUUAUCUUCCGUAUACAGUUGUGAAUUCGGCUUCGAGUCUUCUUGUGUGUUCAUCAAGGAGUCGAGUGUCUUGUGCGUACAUCAAGGUGCUCUGGUGAAGUCAAGGUGUUAGAGAUAACUUGAAGUAUCAGCUCGCAGUGAGUGCAGGUAGUUGAUAGGUUUGUAAAUCUCUUUCGUCUAGUGGAUUAUUUGUUGUCACCAAAGGCAACCGUGGACGUUUCCCAAAUUGGGUUUUACCACGUUAAAAAUUCCUGCGUGUUAUUUACUUUCUGCUUAUCGUUUGAUUUGUUUUGAAUAUUAAACUGUGAGAUUAGCACUAUCUGUGUUUUUCAAUGACAACCCCAAUGAAUCCCUUGAAGAGAUCUCGAUAUCAUCUCCUUUGGUUCCCCAUAAAAUUCCUUUAACUCCCUUCCUAAACCCAGCACAUCUCUCACAAAUUGUAGAUCCCUAUUAUAAGAACAAAGACGAAUGAGAUCCACAGCCAGUCAACGGCGCCGGACUGGCCGUGGUCAACGGUGGUUUUCUCUCUGGUUCUCUCUGAUAUCAAUGGUUCUCUCUGAUAUCAAUUGAUCUCAAAGAUAUGACUGGCAAUGUUUUUAAAAUUCAGCAAUGACCGAUACUGAAUUGUAGAAUUGUGAACGGUGAAUUCCAUGGAAUUGUAGCAAUGAGGAUAUUGAAAUGUUCUAGGGGAACGGUGAGUUCCCUGAAUUGUAGUUGUCUGUGCACCACUAAUUUCCCGAAUAACGUUCCCAUUGUCCUAUCAAUAUAAUGCAAGAUUAAUGGAGUUACUGCAGCUGCAGUUAUAGUGAUGGGUUUUAUCACAGUACAUAGUUCUUAUAUGUUUGAAAUCCUGAAAUUUAGGACAGCCUCUGCAGUCUGCCCUUAAGGAAAAUUGAGUGUGGUUUGGAAGGCAUUUUCUUGUAUGAAUGAAGAAAAAAAUCCCCCUUGUUUUCUUGUUAGUUAUGUAAAAAAAAUACCAUACAUCUUUUUCUGCAAAACAUUGUCAAGGUCAACAGAAAAAAAAAUUUCUAACAAGUUCUAGCAGAUGCCAACUGAGCCCAGCUGGUAACAUAGGUGAAAAUAUCGAAUAAUCUCAAAUAUCCGAUUCGUGAAAAAUCGGAUUAUUUCACGAAUAUCCCAAAGCCAGUUUCGAAAUUGGGAGGUUUGGCAAAUAUGCUUCUCACAAAAUAUUGCCUGAAUAUUCGCGAAUAUUCCAAAAAAUUCGGCAGAAUUGGGAGGUUUUCUACUAAUAUCAUGUUUUUCUUCUUCUUUCAAUGUAUAAACUUAUAAUUCAACAAUAGAAUAUAUAAACACACCCCGUUUUUAUUAUAUGGCCAUUAUCAUCUGAAGAAAGACAUGCGUUUUAAUUUAAACACACCCCUUUUUAUUAUAUGGGUUAUGCAUUUAUAUAUGAAUUUGGUAUUGAAAUUCGAAAUUGCAAGAAUAGAGAAAACUAAAUAAAAUUAUAAAACACUAUAAGAAUCAUUGAAAUUUGGAGACAAAGAGCACGUUCGGCAACUCAAAAUUUUUUAGAAGGAAUUUCCUUAUAAGUUGUUGUCUGGAAUAAGAAAGUACAAAGGAGAAAGCUUAAAACAGAAACUUACCAUAAAAUGCCUUUCUUAACUUUUUAAGAAUUACUUUUUAAUUUAAUUUGUGUAAUCACCGAACAAGCUUCUUGCUUUCCGUCUUUUGGAAAGUUACGGAAUGCAUUUUCACCCGUAUAUAUAUAUGCCGUCUUUAAUUUGAUUUUGUCUGUGCAAGCAUGCUGAUAUCCAGGAUAUUAGAGAGAUACAUCUUCUCACCAUAAGCAUUAUUUGAAGGAUAUGUUUUAUUUUUGAAAUUCUUGAAUGUCUACAGUGGUUGAAACUUCAAUAUCCGAAUAACUUAGUUUAUAUUGUAGAUAAAUAUAAAGAAUUGUAAUUCGAAAGUCAUAUUACAGUCACUAUUAGUAAGCUUAAGGCUUAAGUCAGAAAUGUAGAUAAUAUUUCAGAACAAAUCUAUUCCAUUCCAGAAUGGGAUUAUCAUGUAACGCAGAAUCAGAUAUCAUCAAGUGAAGCUUUCAUCCAAAAAAAACAAAAAAAACAAGUGAAGCAUUUUCCAAGCACACCAAUGAAAUGAUUUGCCACACACAUCAUAAAAGUUUUAUUAGAUGGUAAAUUAUUCAUGCAAAAUUGCAUUCUCAUGAAUUCCUUUUAAACGAGUAUGGAACUGGACAUGAAUAUAUAUAAUGUUUACCAGCCGAAGAUCAUCUUGUAUAAUAUUGGUUUAUAUGUUUGUUAGUGGAUUAUUGAAAUAAAAUACUGAAAUUUAUUUAUUUUGAGAUAUUGGGUAGUAAACAAAAUAUAUUUGUUCAUGAGACUACUAGCUUCAUUGAAAUAUGCAUACUCUAGUUACAAACCUUUUUCUUUAUGCAUACUCUAGUUACAAACAAUGUGAUAGAAAGCUUUGGAAGAAUUGGUACCACAUACAUAUAGACCUGUCAGCUAUCCGAACCGAUCCGUAUCCAAAACCGAUCCAAACCAAAAUUUUUGGUUUUUGAUAUCCAAUUGAUCGUUUGGAUCAUUGAGAAUGGUUUUCGGAUAUCCAUUCCAUUUUCGGGUUGGUUUGGAUAAUUAUCCAAAAAAUCCGAUCCGAUCCAAAUUUUUUUUAAAAUCAAUACGAAACAGAAGAAAAUAAAAAUACCCAAUCUUUCCUGUUCUUCUCGUUUUGGGAGCAACAACAAUGGACCAAACCAAUUCUAAUUCUUUUCUUUUGUAAGUAUGUGAAAAGACAAUAGAUUGUCAUGUCUUGCAAACAACACCAAAUCUCAUCUAUAUCAGUUAAUCGUCUAGCAAUAAUGUCAUCAGUAAUUCCUUCUGGAAGAUCCAACCAAUUGACCUCCAUGUUAAUUAUUCAAUUCACGUACACCAUUCAAAUCAAAAGAUGUUACCCUUUAGUCAAAAACUCAAAAUAGCAUUUGUUUUGUCAUAUUGCUCUGUUUCCCCUGUUUUCGCUACUAAUUACAGAUGACUGACCAGUAUAGAAGAGUUAAGGUAAAAUUGAUAAAAAAUACAACGUACUUUACCACUUUUUUCCAUUAAUACAAUGUACAAAAAAACUGACCAAACAAUGCUUGUACUUUCGUUUUGUUUCUACGUUAUACAAUCUGUUAAAAUGAGCUAACAGACUGCUUAUCUGUACAACAUUUUCUGACGUGGUUUUAUCUAAUUAAGUUAAUUUGCUGAGGUGUAAAAAAAUAACAAAAGUUUUAAUAAUCACGUGUAUCUAUAAGUAAUUGAUGAAUUAAAAUCUUAGUAGAAUCUAAAACUUGAAUUAAGUUUUCUGUAUUUAACUUAUUCUUCAAAAAUCGAAUCUUUACUUCAAAAUCACUACUAUUGAGUGAGUUUUGAUCAGUUUCUGAAGAAUUUGAGAUUUAGGUAGCACAUGAAAUUAAAGAAAAUGAUGAAAUAAAAGUUACCCAUUUUGGAAUUUGCUUAGAAACUAUCAAAGAUGAAAUCUUUAUUACCAUUAAUGUAAAACAAAAGAAAGAAGAAUGAUGAAAUCUUCUUCAAUCUACUUCACCUUCCUUAAACCCUCUCAAAAUUCAUCUCUGACCCUUUUCAAAAUCCUUGAAGAAUAACCAAUAGAACAAAGUCUCCAAGGUUCAGCAACACAAGCACGACCAAUAGAUGGAUCAAUAUCUUCUUCAUCUUCUUCAACACGACUAACUCCAUUAACAAGUACAGCUUUAGCUUUAAGAGAAACAACACAACGUGAAUCACUAUUAUAAAAACGAAGACGUAAUACAACAAGUUUUGAUGAGAGUUCUUUGGCAGUUCCGUCGAAGAAGAUGUUUUCUUGAAGAUGAGUUUUUAUAUGGAAUGGAGAAAGAAGAUCUGAAAGCUUUUGGUGUGUAGCAAAGUCAGGAAGACGAAGUUUAACUUCAACUUCCAUUCCUUCUUUCCAGUCAUAAACACCUCAUAACAAGUACCAAAAUCAAAUUGAGUUUCAUCUAAUUCCAAUGUCAAUCCUUUCCAAUCAUAAACACCUCUAACAUUUCUAAAUCCACCUAAACAAACAAACCCUCGUCCUCCUUCUCCUGUUCAAUAACAAAAGUUCAUGCCCAUGUUUUGAAAUUUUGGUUUGGGGAAGAUAGGUUUAUCCAGAACAAUUUGAUUAAUAUGUAUGUGAUUAUUUGUGGAUGGCUAAGAUCGAAACAUGUGGAAAUAAGAUCUGAUAACACGUGGAUUAUUAAAACUUUUGUUAUUUUUUUACACCUCAGCAAAUUAACUUAAUUAGAUAAAACCACGUCAGAAAAUGUUGUACAGAUAAGCAGUCUGUUAGCUUCAUUUUAACAGAUUGUAUAACGUAGAAACAAAACGAAAGUACAAGCAUUGUUUGGUCAGUUUUUUUGUACAUUGUAUUAAUUAGAAAAAGUGGUAAAGUACGUUGUAUUUUUUAUCAAUUUUACCAGAAGAGUUAAUGAGUAGUACAUUAUUUCAAUUGAUGGAACACUUAAAGAUGGCUUAGUUGCUGGCUUGCUCCCAUGUAUUUGUAGAACCCAUUGCAUUGACUAAUUAAUUUGUUCCUUUGAUGCACCAAAGAUCAUAUCAUAUCCAACAAACAAAAAUUAUAUUAGAAUGUGCUAGGAAUAAAAUGAGAUCUAUUAUCAGCCAUUAUAUUCACUCCCAAUGCUCUUAUCUCUCAAGAGAAAACGAUUUUUGUGUAUUUUUUGGGUUAUUAUUUGAUUAUGAUUUCACAAGUUUGAUUUGUUGUUGUUUUUUGGAUUUGGGUAUUGUUCAGAUCAUUUGUUUUCACGGUGAUGAAGGUUGCAAAAUUAUAUUUAAAAAAAAAAAAAACCGGAUCGGAUCAGAUUGGAUCGGAUAUCCGUUAAUUUAUAGUGGAUCAGUUCGGAUCGGCUGUACCAAUUAUCCAUUCUGAAUUGGAUCGGAUCAGUUCGGAUCACAAUACAUACGGAUCAGUUCGGAUCAGCGAGAUAUCCAAACCGAACCGAUCCAUUGACAGGCCUACAUACAUAGGUUGAACACAUGUGAAUUGGUUGUAAAGAUACAUGAGCAUUAAGACUAUUUAAUUGUAUGCCAAAUUACAUUUUCAUGAGUUCUGCUGCUUAGGAGUCGGACAUAGAUAUAGGGAGGGGUUCCAGGGACUCAAGAAAUGAUUGACUCAAUUUUGACUCAAUCCUACUUAGGGUACUUGUACAUGUUGGAUUGGCAUGAUUUUUUAUAGGAUGAAUGUUCUCAUUAUGUACGACAUCUUCAUCAAAAUUUAUCAUAAUCUGAAUUUUUGAACCCUAGAAAAAACAUAUUACAAGUUAAUGUAUUGUGGAACGUUCAUUUUUACCGUUGAAUUUAAUAUUAUAUUUGAUGGGUCUAAAUAUAUUCAAAUGAGCUGAUUUUUUAUGUAGUAAAUCUUUAUUGUGAAGAGAUCAUAUCUACCUAAAAAUCAUGUCUCUGUUAUAUGUACAAGUACCCUAAAUAGGAUUGAGUCAAAAUUGAGUUAAACAUUUCCUGAGUCCCUGGAACCCCUCCCUAGAUAUAUAUGGGCAUUCACCAUUCAAUUGUUUCUUUGUUUGUUAAUGAAAAAUAUAUUGAAAAUUUUAUCUCCUUUUAUGAUAAACAAAAAAUGUUGAGAUAUUGAAGUAAACUAAAUAUGUGAUACUAGCUUUUAAAUUCACUCGAUUGCAGCAUUAUUCAUUUGUGUAAUUGUUCCUGGGCAGGGCUAACUGAAUGGUGGAUCUUUGGUGAAGUUAUUAAGUAAAGUCACCUUCUUUGAUCAUUUUUGAAAUGUCGGAUAUCUUGACAGUCUUGACUGUCGGAUUAACUCUGCAGCCUAUUCUGAUUCAAUUGCUUAUACCCUACUAUAUAUACUAUGGCAUGUCCCAUGCUCAAAGAUUUCCAUCUAUCCUAUCUUGAGGGAGUUCAUAACGUCGAUACCAGAGAACAGUAGAAGCAUGAAACGCUUUUUGACGGCUGUUAAAGGUAUUCUGGAAUGGCGUGGGCUAUUGAAAUUUGAAACUUUUGGAUAGGAUUUUACUAUUUUCAUCGAAAUGAAAUUAUUUAGGGGGUUUUCUCUUAAAACAGUUGUAUACUAAUGGUAUAAGUCAAUUCUAUCUUAUGGUCGACUGUACUGAUUUCUUUAUUCUAGCUGUGUUUUGGGAAUGAGACAAACUUGUGAUGAAAACACACUCCAUGGAAUUUAAUAAGCAUCCAACUAUCUAAGUGCUAACUCUAGUUCAUGAUGCAUUAACAGAACACAUGGCGAAGCCCAUAAAUUCCAAGUAGAUUACGAUUUCCAAUUUAAACAUCACCGGCCACAAAAAACCCAAUGCUCCAAGGGCCUCAAAAAUAUUAGUAAACAAUGGACAGAGUUUUAGUGAAUGGUAGGCAGAAUUCAUAGUAGUUUCAUAUCAUUUGGUCGUUACAAGUUUUUUUUUUUUUUGCCAUAGCUGUAGCAGUGGUUAAUUUGGGUCUGCUAUGGACCGUGGGUAAGCUUAACUGAAAAUUGGACAGCAGGCCGAGAUCUAGAGUCCAACAUAAAUUCAGGCCCGAGCGUAAUUACAUUAUAAAAUAAGGACGUGGGUUUAUAUGUUUCUUAAUUUUUUUCUCGUAAUCUGUUAUUGCGACAAUGGUUUUCCCUUAUUAAGCCCUUCAGUACCAGUGCUGCAGUUUGCUGACGAUACACUGUUUCUCGUUGACGCAUCCUUCAGUCAGAUUUUUUGCAUCAAAGCUAUUCUUCUGGUUUUCGAAGCAGUUUCUGGUCUGAAAGGGAAUAUGGAGAAAACAACUGUUACGGCAGUGGGAGAGGUGCCAAUUAUUGAAGAUAUAGCACAACUGUUGAGUUGUAAAGUUGGAAAACAGCCAAACAAAUAUUUAGGUAUGCCUUUGGGAUCAAAAUUCAAGAGCGUACAGGUCUGGGGGACCAAUUAUCGAAACUGUUCAAAAGAGGUUAGGGGUAUGGCAGCGGAAGAACCUGUCAAUUGGAGGUCGAGUGGUACUACUCAAAAGUGUGCUGGCUAGUCUGCCAAUUUAUCAAAUGUCGCUCUUUAUCAUGCCAGCUAAUGUGAUUAAGAGAAUUGAGUGUAAGAUGAAGCAGUUUCUUUGGGGAUCGAGUGACUUAAAGAGGAAGUAUCAUUUAGUGGAAUGGAGUAAAGUGUGCUCACCGAAGGAAGUAGGAGGGUUAGGGGUAAGGGACCUAGGCAUAAUGAACAAGGCCCUCCUUGGAAGUUGGUUGUGGCGGUAUGGUAACGAAAGUGAGGCAUUGUGGAGGAUUAUCAUUGAUACAAAAUAUGAAAGGGGUAUUAACAAUUGGUGGCCGAAGGCAGUAACAAGACCACAUGGUUGCAGUCUCUGGCGAGGAAUAAUGAAGAAUUAUGAAACUUUCAGAAACGAGAUUAUAUGUAGAUUAGGAGAUGGAGAGAGGAUUCAAUUCUGGAUAAACCCAUGGUUAGGUGAAAGAUCGCUGAAGGAGGAGUUUCCGCUGAUUUUUAACAUAUCCAAUGGUAAAUUGGAUGUUGUUAAGGACCUGGGAGUGCCCAAUGGUGAGGUAGUGGAGUGGGAUUUGAAACUGAGGAGAAGGAGAUUCGAUUGGGAGGAGCAGCAGUUGCAAGAACUCUAUAUCAGGUUGGGGAAUGUCAACUUUGAAGAAAGAAAGGACAGUUGGUGCUGGAAAGAGGACAAAAAUGGGAGGUUUUCAGUCAGGUCCUUUUAUUCAAUCAUCUAUGUUGAGGAGAAGUGCAGAGCCACCACGAACUUCUUUUCCCUUGAAACUGGUAUGGCAGAAAAUUUUCCCUCCCAAAAUCUGUAUGUUCUUAUGGUCUUUGAUCCUCAAUCGUACGCUUACAGCGGAUAAUCUCAUUCGAAAGGGAAUGAGUAUUUCCCCAACUUGCUGUUUAUGCAACCUGUGCAAUGAAACAAUUACCCACCUCAUGUUACAUUGCUCAGUGUCUCUGACAAUCUGUAGCGAUUUCACAAGGGUUUGGCCAGGUACAUAUGAGGAAAUUUUUGCGGUUGAUUCAGUGGAAGAGUGGCUCAGUAAAUGGCCAAAAUGCGUGAGUCAAGAGUUUGGAAAACGUGUUUGGGAGUUAACUCCCUUUGCAAUUAUAUGGAUAUUGUGGAAGAAGAAAAACUAUAAGAUUUUUAGAGGAAAAGAGAUACAGAUGGCAAGUCUGAAGAAGGAGGUGAUGGGAAUUAUUUGGCAUUGGCUGGCAUCGUGGCCUGGGAGGAGAAGGCAGGGAUUCGAUCAACUGAUAUGGAAUUGGGAUGAUGUAGUUAGAGGAGUAGUAGGACCUGUUAUUUCCUAGCAUGGGUGUCCCUUCCAUAAGUGGUGCUUUUGUCACUUGUGAUGUUUUUUGUAACAUUUUUGUUACUUCUUAAUAAAAUCUUACUUAUCAAAAAAAAAAAAUAAUGUAAUGUUGAUCUUGUUUAUGUAGAUAUGAUGAUAUUGUUUAUGUAAUAAUGGUAGACAUUUAUUUUGGGAAUGUAUCUGUAGUUACCUACAAACAAUUUUUAAAAAUGAAAUACACAACUAAAAUUGUCGGACCUUAAGGCCCGAUCUAUGAGCCCGGCCCUCAACCCUUUAGAAAAGGGUAAGGGCUUCAGUAUUUUGAUGUCAACCCGGCCCUAUCCCGGCCCUCAUGAAUAGUAAGGGUAGGGAUGAUCCAGCCCUUAAGACUAUAAGGCUUAAGUAUUUAAGGGUCGAGCUAGCCCUAGCCUGGCCAUUUCACAUGCCUAGCCUGACAACUGUGUGAGAAAAAUAAUGACAGAAGGGUAUGAAUAGUAUAGAAAAAGUGAAAAAGUAGAUUCCCAUGCCUGUUUGGGUAUAAUGGCUCAUUUCCGUGCCAGUUUGGGUCAUCGCAUAAUAAUUAAGUUUGUGCUUAUUCAGGAAAGGUAAAAUGAUCAAAAAAUACAAUGUACUUUCACAAAUUUUUCACUUUAUACAAUGUACUAAAAAUCACGCUAAAAUAUCAAUGUACUUUAAAAAAAAUUUCACGUUAUACAAUCUGUCUAAAACUAACUAAAGGAUUGCUUACGUGGUCAAUAAUUAUCUACAUGUAUUUUUAUUUUUUUUAAAUAAAUGUUGAUUGUAAAAUUAAAACCAACACAUCUGCUUUAAAACAUGUCAUCAUCAACAAAUGUUUACAUUUAAACCAUCCAUUAAUCCCAAGAUGUUAGUGAUAUAGAUGUAUUACUCCAUUACAUCGAAACCCCCUAAAUCAACAUUUCUUCCAUCUCUCUUUCUCAUAGCAAAUGCGAACCCUAAAUCUUCUCUUUAAUUCUUCAAACCCUGAUUUUAAUUAACCAUUUUCUCACAACUAAAACCCCAAUAAAACACUAAUGUAUGGUGAAUCGGUGAAUCUUAAGAAAGAAUCGGUGUGGAACAAUCUUGUUGUGUGUGUAAAAGAAAAAUCCCCUUUCAAGUAAAUAAUAACUAGAAGUUAGUUUAACACGAAAAGAUGAAGACACAAAAGCUAGGGUUUGAAAUUGAAUUGGAGAUUUGAAUUGGGGAUUUACAGAUUUAGGGAUUUUUACAUUUGUUGAAUUCAAUUGUUAAAAUAGGGAAGAAGGAGGUCAAUCAUGUGAGAAACAUGUGCCUUAUUUGAUGUGUUGGAAAUAUUGUUUAAUUUAUUUUUUUUUUAAAAAUACACGUAGAUAAUUAUUGGCCACGUAAACAGUCUGUUACCUAGUUUUGGACAGAUUGUAUAACGUGAAAUUUUUUUCAAAGUACAUUGAUAUUUUGGCGUGAUUUUUAGUACAUUGUAUAAAGUGAAAUUUUUUUGAAAGUACGUUGUAUUUUUUGAUCAUUUUACCUUCAGGAAAUUACCUUUUUCUAUAUCAUACAAUAAUACACUUUAUAAAGUGUUUCUUAUUUACAAUACUCGAGUAGAAACCUUAUAAAUAUUUUCCACCCUUAUAAUACUCACCUGUGGACAUUAUAAGUUGGUUCUAUUUUUGAACAGGUCACAUUUACAAGCUUCUUGCCAGGCAAAAAUAAUUGAUCUUGAGGAGUGACAAAAGACGGUAGAGAGCUCAGUGCAGGCAAUGAGGCAAAAAACAUAAAAAGGAUUUGAAAAAGGUUAACCAACUAGUUCAUUGUUCUGAGGAGCAUGCUGUUUUGCGGGUAUGUUUAUUACUUAAUUAUUAGCUUAAAUACGUACCACUGUUGAGUUUGAUGAUUUAGCUUGAGGGAACUCGUUUAUUACUUUAUUGUAUUUCUUUCUGAUGAUAUAAGUUUCUCUUUAAUUUGAGUAAGAUCAAUUCUUCGGACCUGAAAGCGAAGAAAAAGUGGCUUUAAUCAAACAAGAAGCUACUGAGAAGCACAAGGUGCAUGCAGCCCAACUGAGGUUCUUGAAACGCCUAAUUCCUCUCAUGGACAUGAGGAUUGACAAAUUUAACGCCAACAGUUAGUGCUGGCAGUUCUUUUUUAUUUUGGCUGUGCUGGCAGUUCGUUGUCUUUCAAAUCAGCUAUUGAAGAGUGGAGCAUGAGGACUGUUGACGAUGAUGUGUUGUGCCAUGCCGUUCGGCAAGAAUGUUGAUGUUUUUUUUUUUUUUAAUUUUCUGUACUGUGAUGUACUGUGGUUCAUAACCAAGUAUAAAGUCUUAAUCCGGAUAUUAUAAUUAGGACCAACAAAUUGGCACUCGGUCUUUGUUAAUAACCCAUUAGCCCAGUCGAACUCACAUUCGUCCAACUCAUUUAUCCAAACUAGUUGAAUCCGUUUUAUACACUGAGAUUUGUGAUUUCAUAGUACAAAUAAUGUUAUUGUUCAAACGUAUAAACAAAUGAUUUGUGAUUUCAUAGUACAAAUAAGUAGCUUAAGGCUCUAGAUUUAGCCAAGGGGAAAAUUUUAAUAUUGCAAAUAUAUGUUGGUAAACAAAUUCGAACUCUUAAACUGUAUUAUUCAUUAUCAAAGAGAUAAAAUGAUUGUAUGAUUCAAUUCUUUGAUUUCGAAGUAUUUGUUUAACAUUAGAUUGGAUACCCAAUAUCCCUCUUCUUAAUUGAUGAGUUUGUAAUGAAAAAAAAAAACAAUCAAUUAAUUGAAAAUUGUUAAUCUGAACUGUUCAACAUGAUAACAACAUUUGGCGAUUCUUCUCGUCAUGGGUUUGUAGCUGCUAGCCUACAAGGUUGACACAAUUCGUGGGCUUAAGUGGAGCAUGAGUGAUUCAAGGCCUACUUUGAAUGAAGGCCCAACAUGGAAUUAUGAUAGGAUUUCUCUUCUACAAAGAAAAUAAGGGUCUGUUUGGAAACCUGGAAUUGAGGCUGGAAUUGAAAAUGAUUUUCCAAAACAUGCAAUUUUGUGCAUUUGGAAGGACUUUAGUCCAUGAAUUGAAAAUAAAAAUCCUUAAAUAUCAAUGAAUCACAAGUUUCUUAUGGGGGGUAAAACUCUUGAUUCUAGGCUUGAUUGAAAAUUUAUUUUUUAUGUAAGGAAACUUUAAUAUUGCCAUCUAUAUUAUUUUCCUAUUAUAUCACUUAUUUAAUUUUCUUUUCUCAUUUCAAUCUAUGUAUCCAAACAUAGUAAAAAUUAACAUUAAAAAUUUCAAUUCUCUAAAGUCUUAAGUUUUCGAAUUAUAAACUCAAUUCCAAUUUCCAAGAAAGUUUCCAAACAGACCCUUAAGGUUUUCCAUUAUCUCUACCACCUCCAUUCCUAGUUUCCUACUAUGUGAAGUAAACGAAACCUUCAUCUUCUCCAUUCCAACAUCAUCAACAAGGAUUGCUUUUUCAAGUCAGUCUAAGAAGGUGUUGUAGUGAUUGCAAAGAUAGAAGACUACGCAGAGCACUUCUACAAGUAUUAGCUUCUGUGAUUAGGUUAAUCUGAGACUGUAUUAGUGAGUGUAUCUUUUUAUUUCAUAUAGUGGAUUUUUUAUCGUCGUGAGGACAGUCGUGGAUAUUUUCCAGUGAUUAGGUUUUACCACGUUAAACAACUAUGUUUUUUAUUGCUUUCGUAAUUAGUUUAUUUCUACUAGUAGUUAUUAGACUAUUGUACUAUUUGGGGUUUACAAUAGGUUUUUAUUUAUCCCAUGAGUCCUACACUAAAAACCAGUUAUGCAAAGUUACAGACUUAAAAUAAAAAGUUUGUUAAAUAAUAAAAAAAAAAAACAGAACAUGGUAUAUUGGUAUGUCAGUUUGACUGCUAGAUCUCAGCAUAAUGGUAAUAGUGUACGUUAAGUUUUCAAACUGCAAUAAGACAUGUUGUAUUAUACCAACCAAACAGUGUUUAUCUUGCCCAUAACAACUACUUCUAAACUAACUUGAAUUAGUAAACUAACUUGAAGUCUUGAACAUGGUUUCGGAUACAGAGUUUGAGUGGAAAUUAGAAUACCAAUUAACCAAGGUUCAAACCGACUCUAGGGUUACAAGAAAAACUAUAUAAAGCCCUCCCUGUCUCUGUCUUUCUCUCACAAUUAAAGAAGAAGAAGUAUUAAGGUUAUACUUUUCUGGUUUUUGAGAAGAGAUAUCUACAAUGGGUGUUUAUACUUUUGUUUGUAGAAGUUCUGGAAGUGAAUGGAGUGCAAAACAAACUUCUGGUGGUGAUAUUGAAGCAUCUGCUUCUUCUACUUUUGAUUUGCAGCGGAAACUUGUUCAAGCUGCUCUUUCUCGCGACUCUGGUGUUGUUUCUUCUUCUUUCUCUUUGGUUACUCCUUCUUCUGGUGUUUUCCAGGUUAUUGUUGCCUCUGGUUUUGUUGGCGGUAGUGGAGCAGCACCUGCACCUGCAAGUUCUGUCAUUGGAGAAGCAGCUGCUGUAGCACCUAAAGCUGAAGAGAAUAAGGAAGAGAUUCUGGAAGAAAGUGAUGACGACGUGGGUGGUCUUUUUGAUAUCUUUGAGUAAGGUCAUAUAUUAAUUUUUGCAUUGAAAAAACAAGUUUACGAUAAAUUUUUCAUAGCGGAUUGUUGUGUUUUGGUAUAGAUUACUUUAUGUUGUUUCCUCAAGAAAACCAAAGUACAAAGAAAUAUUAUUGUGGUAAAGUUGUGCAUACUGGAUUGUUUAAUCAUUAUAAUAAAUGAUAAAUUAGUGAAUUGAACUUGUUAAGUAUACUAAUAAUCAGACUGAUUAGAGCUCGCUCUAAUUACUGUAAAAAUGAUGUGCUACCAAGUACUUCAAUAUGUUGCAAAAAUUUGAAGGCUUGAGAUGAAUAUAUACAUAACCAUAACAAAAGCAUUAAUGCUGUGAAUCCUAACAAUAUUAAUUAUAAGUGGAAAAAAUAAAAAAAGAACUUCAUCAAUGAAGCUUUUGUUAUAAAAGGAUGUGUGAUUUAGCUGAGAAGGCAGUACGCAAUAACCUAUAAUCUGACAAGAGAUUCAGAACACAAGAUCUCAUAACAAGCAUCAUAUAUAGACUUGCAACUAUUAAAACUUUCUACUUAGGACUCUGCAUAUCGUAUAUGGAACACUCUUUAUGAAUGUGUAGCAUCCAUCAGUAUCUUUUUUCCGAUUGUCAAGCGCUGUACAUAAUAGCUACAAGGACUCAGUUUUCAUAACCGAGUGUCACUAAAUCUGGUGUAACAAGGAAUCCUCUGGCAAACCAUGACAAUUUAUGUGAUAAUGAUCAAGUUGUCAGACUACAGUUAUCCUUUUCAUUUACUUAAUUAAGCAAUGCCUGCAGUUCUCAACCUUGGUUGCUAUUAAAUUACUUGUAGCUCUUGCAGUUAUAUAUCCUCCAAGAAUAUACAUGGAAUCGGAGUUUCCAAAUUAUAUAUAUAAAUCUGCAGAACUUGUCAGAGACACUUAUCUAACUGCGGCAUUAUGCUAACAUGAUCUUGUGUUCACUCUGUUAUUAGGGUUGAACAAAUAUUAAUGUAAUUUCUGGGAUCUAAGCUUUACAGACAUUAUUGUUGAGUUAAUUAUGUAGAUAGAGACCAACAUAUUAUUGUUGAGCCCGAUUUGGACUGAGUUUUUAAGACUUGUCCAUCAACUACAGAAUUAUUAUGUGCAGCAAAUGGAAAGGAACAAUUAUCUUACAAGUUAUAUGGUAAUGUAAGUGCAAAGUGUUUAAUGAAUUUUUACUUAAUUUAAUUAAGAAUCCACAAAUUUGAUGUAAUUUCUUUAGCAUCAAGUAUACCUUUGGUUUCAUGCCUAUGUACUUUUGCCUCACCACAUUAUUUUCAGAAUGAGAAUCAGAUACUACAUAUAGUAUCUUGGUUAACACUAGCUAGCACUUCUUUACAAGCUAGCACCUUAACUGUUGAGUUCCAGGUUUUCAACAACUUCUAUGAACAACUUUCAAAUGACUGCCACACACAAUACUUCUUGCAAACAGAUUGCUGAGCCCUAUAGCUGCCAGAAUCAUCUCCAAAGAGCAAUGCGGAUUUCUUACAGGUAGAAGUGUUCAUGAAGCAAUUGCUUUAGCCUCUGAACAAACAAAUGAAUUGAGUAUUAAAAGGCAUGGAGGAGGUACUGGUCUCAAGUUAGACAUCAGCCAGGCUUUUGAUACUCUCCAUUGGGACUUCUUGUAGUUCGUACUUCAAAAGUUCGGAUUCUGAUACUCUCCAUUGGGACUUCUUGUGGUUCGUACUUCAAAAGUUCGGAUUCUCCAAUACUUGAUCUACUUGGGUCAAAGGCACUGUCACUAACAAUAGCAUAUCAAUCCUCAUAAAUGGAGGCCCUCAAGGCUUCUUUCAAGCUAGCUAGCACCUUAACUGUUGAGUUCUUUUCAACAACUUCAAAGAACAACAAAGUUCAAAUGACUGCCACACACUGACACACAAUCCUAUAGUUGUGACUGUAGAGGUUAUUCAUACAAAAUUGCAUUCUCAUGAUUUUUUUUGUUUUUUAAAAUGGUUUGGGAAUUGGAAGUGAACAUAUAAACUUUACUAGCUGAAGAUCAUCUUCUACAAUGGUUUAAUUGUUUCUUCAGUUUGUUAUUGGUUUAUUUAAACGCUUUCCUUGGAUAAAAUUUGGAGAUACGUACUGGAGUAAACUAAAUACCUGGUAUUUGCUUAGAAAGUUAGAAUAGAGCAAAAAAUACAAAUAAAAAAACAAACAAAAACAUCCAAUACCUGGUGGAUUGUGAAGCAACUAACCGUUCAGUUUUUGGUUUUGAAAUUUAAAAUCCAGAAUUAAACCAACCAAACCCUAAUAUGUUCACCAGAUAUUAUUCAAUUUAAUGUUUGUAAGUAAAUUAAUUAAUUAUUGUUAUUUUUUGUCAAUGAUUGAUUUAAUAAAUUAUAAAUUUGUUUAUUUAUUUGUUGAUUUGUUGUGAUGGUGGGUUAAUUGUAGAUUUGAUUGGUUGUCAGUUGACAUAGAUAGGACAUUUGAUCUGUUUGUCAUAUGGCAAAAACUUAAUUAUAAACCCAAUUACACAGCUCAUUUAUCAUUAGAGUCUCCAGAUCCUUUAUCACUGAGCUCAAGAGAACUGAUGGUAGUAAAACCUCGAACCAACAAGAACUGAGUGACCGGAUAGUGCCACACUACACAGAUAAAUUGUUACGACCCGACUUAUAUCACCAUUGAUAUUGUCCCCACUUAGCUAUUGCGGUCGCCCGACAGUGUGAGGUUUUUUGUGGGCAACAGUCUGCUUUCUACGUGGUCACCCAUCCUGAGACUACUCCCACCCGAGCACACUUAACUCCAGAGUCCCUUUGAACUUUGGAGCCAAGUUAGCCCAAAAGGCCUCGGUAAUAAUAUUAGAUGAAUCUAUACCUAUAUUCUAAUGUCAGAACAUUCUCCUCUCAUGUGUCAUAGGACCCACCUCAUCAACAAACCAUCUACCGACCCGAGGUGUUACAAUCCUACCACCUUAGAGGAGAGUCGUCAUCGUCUUUGAAAAAUACAGCCCCAGAUCUCCAACGUUCUCUGCCCCUCGCGAGAUGAGUACUCGACGCAACCGUCACCCCUUCUUGGGCUAGACACCUUUUCAGCCUACUCUCCCACCCUCGACAGGUACCAUUGAAAAUAUGUAUUCUGUAUAUUAUAGAUUUAUAACUUGACUGGAGAUGUUAUAGCUCCAUUUAUUUGUAUAUUUUAAGGCUCCGGAUUUUGCCAAGAAAAAAUUGAUUAUGCCAAUGAUUAUUUGAUAACUUUACUAAUUUGCCCUUAAUUACUUUUCAUGAAAUAUAACACAGCUGACAUAAAAUACAUAUAAAAUUAUAAUGACAGAUUUGCCCAUUGCCCAAAAAUAGGAAAAAUCUAUUAAUUCAUUAUUUCCCGCUAAAAACUAGGAAUCUCUCCCUCCAUAUGGUUUCAUCUUCCCUUCCUGCCUUACUAUUCUAUUUUCACCUUUCGUAGUUUCAUACACAAUCUCACAACCUAGAUCCAAAAUUCAUGACAAUUUUUAUUCAUCAAUAAAGUCAACUCGGAGUAAGUCUUUUUAAUAACUGAUUUUAAUUAUUAUUUUUGAUUGUAAACUUCGAUUAAAUUUUUUAUUAUUGCUUAAGAUUCGUAGUUAAUCAAUGUCAUAUAAGUAGUUAUAAUUAUAUAUCUUUGUGAUGAACGGGAGAAAUCGACAGUAAUACAUGUCUACAAUUGUUGAAAUAAUUCUAUUCAAUAUUGAGUUCAUUUGAGAAACCAGAGAAGUUUGGUCUCUUUUAUACUGAUGGACUAAUUAAAUUCCUUUAUAUGGUACUGUACACAUUGCUAAACAUUUGACGCAAGGAAAAAACAAGGGCAACAUUUCUUAUUAUUGCUGCUGCUAUUAGUAAGAUUAUAUAAACCAGAUAUUUUAUUUUGAAUGCAAGGCUUAAACACUUCUUACAAGUAUUAUGGAUGCACAACAAGUGAAUCAUACUAUAAACGAUAAUGUACAUUAUGAGGCUACAAGUGUAGUUUCAGUAAACAAUGAAGAAAGUGAAAAUGAAGAAGUUUUUGAAGAUGGAAAAAUGCUUCCACCACCAGUGAGAACUUUUAAUAGCCGAGAAGAACUACUUGAAUAUGUGCACGACUUUUCUUUAUCACAAGGAUAUGCUACAACCAUAAGAGAUUCUGAAAAGGAUAAAUAUGUUACAAUUGGUUGUGACAGAGGAGGUACCUAUAGGAAUAGAAGUAAUACAUCGAUUGAAGAACGGAAAAAGAAAAGUGGUUCUCGACUUAUUAAUUGUCCCUUUAGAAUUAAAAGUGUCAAGCUAGUCGAUGGUUCAUGGAUAAUCAGAAUAAGCAAUGGAACUCAUAACCAUGAAGCAUCGAAAGACGUGUCUGGGCAUCCUUCUUUCCGUCCAUUUUCUAACAAAGAGUUAUUGAGGAUCAAAAAAAUGUGCAUGUCAGGCAUACCACCACGCCAGAUUCUUACUUCGCUUCGCCAGGCUAAUCCAAAGCUUAAAGCCAUAUCAAGGACAGUUUACAACACAAAAGCCAAGAUUCGUAAGGAAAAGCUACGAGGUCGAACACCUAUUCAAGCUUUACUUGAGGAACUCUCUAGUGGAGGAUUUUUACACAAUAUUAAAGUUGAUACAGAAGGUAGGCUUACUCAUUUGUUCUUUGCUCAUCCCCAAUCAAUCAAAUUAAGCAAGAGCUACCCAAAUGUCUUUGUGAUGGAUUGCAUUUACAAAACCAAUAAGUUCAAGAUGCCAUUACUUGAUAUUAUUGGAGUUUCAAGCUUUAAUACUUCUUUUUACUCGUGUUUUGCAUUCUUAUCAAAGGAGGAAACAAGUGACUAUGCUUUGGCUCUAAGUAUGUUCAAGGAAAUGUUAGGCAGCGAUGAACCUGUGGUUAUUGUAUCUGAUCGAGAAUUUGCUCUCAUGAAUGCCAUUGAGGUAAUUUUUCCAAGGACUAUAAACCUCUUAUGUUUAUGGCAUAUUGAAACAAAUAUUAUAGCAAAUUGUAAAAAGUUUUUCAAAGAAGACGACAAGGAAAAGAAAGAAAACGAUUGGGAUACAUUUAUAACUGGGUGGACUGAUCUGGUGCAAUCAGAUUCUGUGUCGUCAUUUAAUUCAGCAUGGAAAGAAUUUGAAGUGACUUAUAAGGAGAAAGUUAAUGUGGUUGAUUACAUAAAAAAAAUUUGGCUACCGUUCAAAGAACGUUUUGUAAAGACAUGGACAGACAUUCACUUGCACUUAGGAAAUCGAGUUACUUCGAGGGCAGAAGGUGCACAUGCAGUCCUUAAAAAAUAUUUGCAAGUUUCUACUAGUGAUCUCCAUGUGGCGAAAGAAAAGAUAUGUCUUGCAGUUGAAAAUAAUUUUCUAGAAAUCAAGACAAAACUUGCAAGUGAAAAGCUCACACUGCGUCAUAACAUAUGUGUUCCAUUUUUCAAAGAAGUUGUCUAUUGUGUAUCAGUGUUUGCAAUAGUGAAGCUAUUUGAACAAUAUAAAUUAGCUUUAUUUGAUUCAAGCUUGCACGCAUGUAAACGCCAGUUUGUUGCGACGAUGGGUCUUCCUUGUGCACAUAUGAUGAGAUGUAUGAAAGAUAAAGUAUUAUGGCUUUCUGAUAUACACCCACAAUGGAGAAUUGAUAAACGGUCAUUUGAAGAUGAUGACAUUGUCAUUGAUCCAGGCAAUACAAUAGAUUCGCUCACAGGUUUACUUCAAGAACUAGAAAAGAAUUAUCACCAGUGGCCUAUAGCUCAGAAGAUAAUUGCUCAAGAACGUCUAUCUUAACUUAUAAAUUAUUCCGUGCCUAUUGUGUUUGAUCCUCCUAUUCAUUCCCAUAAAGUGCGUCCAGCAAAUUCGAAAACUAAGAAAGUGUCCAGUUCCACUAGAAGGGAUCCGUCAGCAUUUGAGAUUGUUGAAAAGUCGAGAAAGUACAGUAACUGUCAUGAAGUUGGUCAUAAUAGUCGAACUUGUAAACGUGUUAAUGUGACUCAAGAAUUUGCUGCUAUUGAGCUAAAUCCAGCUGAAAAGAACACUUUAGAUGGGGUGAAUUGGAACUCCAUGCCUAUGGACACAUUGGGUAAAUAUAUUUCUAUUGUUUGAUGCCAAUUUUAUAUUAAUUGUUUUUACUUACGUAGUUCAUAUAAUCUACCUAGUUUUAUAGCAUUUGUCAUAAUGUCUGUCAAUGUUAUUUUUAUUCACAGGUCCAGAAGAAUGAAUUAGGAAGAGACAUGAUACAGUACCUAAAAGCUUUGCAAGGAUUUUGGUAAGUUUGAACUUAUAACAACUUUACUAAAAUCCUUAUAGCAUGCACUUUUAUUUUUCAACAAAAUGUAAAAAUGAUAUUGGUCAUCAAACCAAGUAUAAAUAGUCUGACCAGCCUGCGUUUUCAUGCAUGAUGCAUCGUCAGGUUACCCCAAAGGACAACACAUCUUUUACACAACAACCUAACACCCCAACCAAUUACUUUCCAGUACAUAUAACAGAUACAAGAAAAAUAUAGUCUGGUUCAACAACAACUCCAUCUUGCCCUUCACAGUAGCAUCCUUAAGUACAGUCCUUCCUUAGCCCAUCCCUGCCCUACAACAUCAUUGUCUUGCAACAGUAGGAUACAUAUGCCUUAGAGUCGACUUAUGUAUUUAUUAUAACUUACACACAUAUUUUCUCUACAGGUUACUUUUGUGGAUUAGGAGAAAAUAGCAAUUUGAUGAAUAAAGGCGGAUGCAUGGGAAGAAUGUUUGGUUUUUCAUUUGGUUGUCUUCGUAGGAGAAAAUAGUUUUAUCGAUGUCGAUCAAGUAGGAGUUACAAGCUUUUAAAUUUCUUUUGUAAAUUGUAAUGAUUUCAUUAUUUUGAGGUACUUUGCCCAUUACUUAAUGACUUCAGACCUUCAGUUGAUGUUAGUUGUUCAAUUUGGUUGAAGUAUAUUAAUUCAAUUUUUCUGAGAAUAAAUUAAAAUCAACCAUGGUUGAAGUUCAACAUCCACAACGUAACAUGGUCAUUAUGGACAACAAAGUCCAACUGAUGCUAUCAAGAGUAUGCUACCUAAUAGAGGCCUAACAGCUUCUCAAGACAUUGCAGUGAUCACACAUUCACACUAAUUCCUCUGGGUGGUCUUCUUCUUACUCUUGCUGGUCUUACUUGCUACAGUUGUUGGUCUAGCUGUGACCACACCACUUAUCAUCCUUUGUAGCCCAGUGUUAGUGCUUGCUGCACUCACAACUGGUCUUGCAGUCAUUGGGUUUCAGUGGACUGAUAUUUCAAUGAGUCAGACCCAUAAGAUUUUUUCAAACUAAUAUCUUCUUUUGUUAAGAAUUAAUAGAUUUUUCCUAUUUUUGGGCAAUGGGCAAAUCUAUCAUUAUAAUUUUAUAUGUAUUUUAUGCCAGCUGUGUUAUAUUUCAUGAAAAAUAAUUAAGGGCAAAUUAAUAAAGUUAUCAAAUAAUCAUUGGCAUAAUCAAUAUUUUCCUUGGCAAAAUCCGGAGCCUAUUUUAACCAAUUUAAAUAUAAUUACCCUUUAGCAAAAAAAAAAAAAAAAAAAAAAAAAAUUACUCCCUCUGUUCCAAAUUAUAAGUACCUUAUUCCAUUUUUAGUUGUCCCAAAAUAUAUGUCUUUUUUCAUAUUUGAAUACAUAUUAAUUAAGUUAAAUUGUUCUUUUACUUAUACUACCCUUGCUUUAUACUACCCUUGUUUUGGAAUUAGAGUAGACUAUGUUUAAUAAGUGGAACCCCAUUAAAUAAAGAUAAAUUUGAAAGUGUAGUAGUAGACAAACAAUAAAUAAUGUUCUCUUAAUAAGUAGAAUAUUCCAGAAGGUACUUAUAAGUUAUAAUUUGGGACGGAGAGAGUAUCAUUUUUAACUCAAAACCAAGCCAGUUUGAAAAUAAAACAAACUUGGGCCUAAUACACAUUCCAUGGAAACAUAGGAGAACAUAUACAGGACUACAGGAGACAUAUUCCAUGAAUUACAAGUGGAUUACUAUUUCCAAUUUAAGCAUUUCUAGCUAGGGUCAAACAACUCAAUCAUUCAGGGUCACAGACAGUCACAUAUAGAGUUUUACUGAACCAUAAGUUAUGCUUGUGUUUCACAAGCCAAUAAACACAUCGAUCACCAUUGUGGCUAGAAUUGUAGUAGGACUUGGUGACCCGUAUAUGAUAUAUCAAGAACUCAAGGUUGUAGUUCAUCAUUAAACUUGCAUUUUUAAUAAACUGAUCAUAUUGCAUGUUUGCAUGUGAAAUUCCUUGGGGCCGUGUUUUUCAUUCAAAGAGUCGCAACAAAAGUUCUGUUAUCAGCUGGCCUAAAUGAGAAAUUCCGAUAGAAUGAUAAAUUCUCAAGGAAGAUAGUAUAUAUAGAUCAUACAAUUGAUCCUUAUUUGGUGUAUUAUUAUUUAUUUAUUUAUUUAUUUAAACUGAGAUAAUGGAGUAAACUAAGCAUAAACUGAUCACUAAUUUGUUCACUCAAAUUCAAAUUAAAUUGUUAGAGAGAUAGACAAAAUUGAAGGUUUAGAAGAGUUUCCCUUUGGGAUUUCCAUAUUAACUAAGUGUUUACAUCUAAAUCCACUUAUUUCCACAAAAUCUGGAGUGCGACCAUAAAGCUUCUCAAAAGGAGAAAGACCAGAAGUCAAAAUAGUAGGAAUCAUGUUAACCAAAUGAACAACAGUAAGAACUGCUUCCCCCCAGAAAAUAUUAGAGACAUUAGCAGACAAGUAAAGAGAGCGAACAGUUUCAACAAUAUGACGUUGUUUCCUUUCAGCAACACCAUUUUGUUGAGGGGUGUCGGUACAAGAAGCCUAGUGGAUAGUCCCAUCAGUUGCAAGUAGAGCAGAAAAUUCAUUUUUAGUAUAUUCACCACCCAAAUCAGCUCAAAAACACUUAAUAACAGCUAAGUGUUGAGUUUUAAUAAGUACACGAAAAGCAAUAAAUAUGCUAAGAAAAUCUGAACGACGUUUCAUAAGAUAAACCCAACAAUAUCGAGUAUAAUCAUAAAUAAAAGAGACAUAAUAUCGUGACCCCCCUUUGUGACAGUAGGAGCAGGUACCCACACAUCAGAAUGAAUCAAAUCAAAUGGUGCAAUGGAAACAUAAGUACUUUGAUUGAAAGGCAAAGCAGAAAACUUAGCAAGUUUACAACCACUGCAAUCAAAUAUAUCAUGAAUAUCUAAAUUUCCUAAUGCUCCACUAGAAGCCAAAAAUCUCAAACGAGAAUAUGACACAUGACCAAGUCUAGAAUUCCAUAAAUAAAAAAGAGAAGAUCGUGGACUCAAACAAAAUGAAGUAAGAUCAACACUGGAAGCUACAACAUCUAGAAGUCGCAAAUUCUCCAAAACAUAUAGUCCCCCCCUCUCUACGGCCUAUCCCAAUCAGCUUCUUGGAUCGAGGAUCCUGUACAUAACAAUAAGUGGGGAAAAAGUGAACAAUAUAUCCAGAAUCACAUAAUUUGCCAACAGAAAUCAAAUUCAACUUGAGCUUAGGAAUGCAAUAAAUAUUAGAAAGAGACAAGUGAGGACUGUCAAUGGAACCAACGCCAUCUAUUGGCAAAGGGGCGCCAUCAACAGUGACAACCGGGAAGGAUGAUGGGGGUGGGGAUAAACUUUAAAAAGAAGAAGUAUAAUACGACAUAUGUUGGCCUGCACCUGAAUCAUAUAUCUAUGUGGAUGGGGAUAUACCUGAGGAAGUAGAGGAUGACAAACCUAUUGGCAUAGAUGUGGACAUGGCAGAAGGCUGUGUAGUAAGAAACACUAAAGAAAAAGUUCACCUGGAUAAACAAAGAAACUAUUUGUAUCACUAAGUAGUUUGUUUGUUUGGUUCAUUUGAACUUUUAUUUGAAAGAUUUGAUUGCAAUCUUUAAGAUGUGCAAUGUAGGAAUAUUUUUCUUCAUUGCACAUUUUGUUGAGAAUAUUCAGAUUUUUUUUUUCUUUCACUAGAUUGCCAAAAGGUAUAUUUGAUACUUCAAAAGCUUAAACACGAUUCUCUUUUCUUCUUUUUUUUUUUUGUAACAGUUGACUUAAUACGGAUAUAAAUAGUUACAUACUAUAAACCUCCAGUAUGAUUUCUUCAUCUAUCAUUUCUACAUCUCCUCUUAAUCUUUCUUCUCUCAGGUCUCUAGCUAGACCAGCCUGUUCAGGUACUUCUCUCGAUCUUUCUGUUAAUGAUUUUACUAUGCUUAUUUGAUUUGAUUGUGAAUGUGAAGAAAAUCAAAUUCCUAUGUUUUUUUUUUGUUUUUUUUAAUUUGCAGAAACCGACAGAUAACAAGUAUGGUGGGUUCUUUCAACAAUCAUCAGGGUCUCUUGAAACUGUUUCUGGUGCUUGUUGCACUUUCCAGGUGGUGUUCACCAAUUAGUGGAAAUAAAGUACAUGUGGUUGUGAGAAAUGACAUUCGAAACAAUAUAACGUUGAACCUCCAAUGCAGAAAUAUGAAGGCUUACAGUGACAUUGGUUCAUACAAACUUGGUUACAACCAACUGGUUGAGUGGAGGUUUGAAGCCUAUACACAUAGAAUUUGGUGCUUAGCUUCCUGGCACUAUAACAUUGAGUUGAUCGAAGGCGGGUUCUAUGUAUACCGUGAAGAUGUAGAUAAAUGCUAUGAAAACUGCAUCCGGGAUGCAAAAUUUGAUGGUGUAUGGGCUUACACUAACAAUGGUCGGCCGCAUAUGAUAUAUAAAUGGUAUCGGCCACAAAAGGCUUUAGGGGAGGAAAUCAAAGUUUAAGUCUGGAUGGUUGUCACUAGUUGGUAAUAAGCUAAAAUAAUAAAGUUGAUCGAGUAAAAUUAUAUGUAUUUCACUAGUUAUUUGCAUCGCUAACCAUGAAUUAAUAUGUCUAUCACUGAAGAAAUAGUUAGGGCAUAAUUAAGUCGCAUUUGCAGAUGCACAUUUCAAGCUUGUUGUGAAUUCUGCCAUGCCACUUCUGCUGUUGUGGACUGUGGUGGCUGAAUACUGGGUGGAUGGUCUAUUUGCAUCUCUGUACCAUUCUAUCAAGGAAGCCAAGAUUCCUUAACAUUAUAGCUGGCCUGGUUGCUAAAUAGCAUCCGAGGUUAAUUAGUCCUGAUACAUUUGAUUGCGUAAUUGGUAUGUAAAUGACUGCAAAGUUCUGAACUUCUGAUACUAGUAUAUACCUCUUCAUUUCCUUGUGAUCGAUCACAUAUUCUAUUGAAUGAAUUGAAGAAUUGUGGAACCACAGAUCAUCAAAAGAAUUGCCAAUAAUAAAACAGACCUAUGACACAACUAGCACACGCAUUAUUCCAAUAGAACCACAUCACUACUAACUAGGCCUAAACCCAAUAUUCUGGGAGCAGGACUCACCCCAGUUGUUUGUUACCCGCACACAAUUACACAGUUUCGAUAGAUGUAUGUGGUAGCCUGGUAGGUUAUACAUUCAAAAUAGGAUUCACAUGAUCAUGAGUUCUGUUUUCAUGGCAAUUGGAUUUAAAAUUGGAUUCACAUGGUAGGUUGUGUUUCACCACAUGACAUAUGAAUCCGACAUGCAAGUUUAUAUAAAUAUUUUUCACAAUGAACAACAUAAGACCCGCAUAUAGCAAUGUUUUUUGGUUUAACUUGUUGCUGGAAAAUUUAACUGUAUCUUGUUUACUGAGAGACAGUACAUGUUUAGAUAUUUGAGUAAACUAAACAUGUGGUACUUUUUUGUUGUAAUAGCUUAAAAUACAAACUAGGGAAAAUUGGCAAUAACCCCCCAUAUUUUGACCGGUUUUGGCAAAAACCCUCUAAUUAUGCCAAAUUUGGCGUAAACCCCCCAACCCCUGCUUCAAAAAAAAUUUAGUCUCUUGUACCGCUAAUUCAAAAUAUUCGCCUAAACCCCCUAAAUAUAUGUUAACAGAAGUUAACAAACAUAGGCUAAAUUUCUGUUACUGUAGUAUAAUCCAGGUUAAAAUCUCGAAAUCCGUGAGAUCUCAGCAUCCCCAAAACUUGAGAUUUCGGCCGUCUUUGAUAAGAUGAACUAGCUUUUUGUUAAAUUCUCAACUCAUUAUUCAAAAAUUCCAAACCCCAAUUUUGUGCCAAUUUCACGUUAUUAUAUUCAGAUUCAACCCAAUUACAUCUAAUUAUAGUUGAUAUGGAAAACACUUAUACAAUUUCACAUCAACAAACCCAUUCAAGAAAAAAGAAAAUUAGAAUUGCAUCUACUGUAUAUUUUAAAUUUUGGGGAAGAUGAUGGAGACAAGGACGAAAUUGGUAGAGUUUUGUAAAAUUUCAACACUAAUAGAGUUCCACAAGACAAAAAGUUUGAUAUGAACCUUGAUUUGAUAUAUAAGCAUAAUAACAUUAUCAAUAAAUAAUAAGGAUCAUGAAUCACGUAAUUAAUCACUAACAAAUACACAUACCUUUAUCCAUAUCCAUUAAUAAUCCAAGAAGCUGCACAAGAUCUAGGUUUCACUCUCCUUACCUCUUAAACCCUAAUCUGUGUUGUAAUAGUAAGUGUAUGAGGAUGAAGAUCAUACACCAAUUUAUAGAGGUGGAGAGAGGACCUAAAUCUACAAACCUAAACCCAUUAGAUCUAGACCGUCCAUCAUAGUUAAGAUCUACGGUAGAUAUGACUUCCACAUAACCUAUUACUAAUUAGCUUAUUUCUAUAUUAAACCAAGGUUAAAGGUACAUGGACCACAUUAUGGGUUGGGCUUUAUAUUUGGAAAUUCCAACAUGAUAGAGUUUGGGGAGUUUGUAAGUAUUUUCUCCAUCUUCUUCUUCUUUGUUUCUUCUAGUUGAAAUGCAAUUGGGUUUUGAUGAAUGGGAAGAGUUGGUGGCAAACCCAUUAGCAAACAUAAUCAAUUGCAGCUUUCCAAUCUGCGUCAUCUUCUUCUCCGCUGCUACUACUAGAUUACUUCAACCCAAUCUAAAUGUUAGUGGGCUAGCCAAGAGACUUGUUUCUAGAUUUCUAGUUCCUACUCUCUCUCUCUCUCUUUUGAUAUAUCCAGUUUGUUUGCUGAAGAAACGAUUUGAUUCUUUAUCAUAUGUUAAUCAAUUUGGUGAGUUUCUUUUAGGUAUUUUGACUUUAUUUAGAUUAGAUGUUUCAAUUCAAGUAGUUGCAAAAUACUUAGAACUUGUUUGAAGAUUCAAGAAGAAACAAAUCAUGUAAUUAAUUUUAAUGUUUUUAUCUUUGGUGGGUUUAGCCUUUAGACUAAUAAAGGUGCCGUUAAUAAAAAUUUACUUCUGUCUUUUAGCUUAUAUUUAGGGGGUUUAGGCAAAAUUUUUGAACCAGGUGUAUAAUUGGCUAAAAUUUUGUUGAAUAGGGGGGUUGGGGGUUUAUGCUAAAUUUGGCACAAUUAGGGAGUUUUUGCCAAAGCCAGUCAAAAUGUGGGGGGUUAUCGCCAAUUUUUCCUACAAACUAUACACAUACCAAAGCCACUUCCGUUUUAUGAUAAUUGGUUAGCAAGUUAAGGAAAAUGACACGACAACAAAAGGAGAAGACUCAUCAGCAGCUCAUGAUUUCUUUAUUAGAUUUACAAAUAUUAUAAUUUCGUUUUUUGGGUUUUCUUUCUUCCAUUUCCUAAUAUAACUUUAGGGGUAUUUAGGUUUUAGUCACUACAUGUAUAUACUAAUUAGGGAAAUGACACUUAAGUUCGAUUAAUUAGGGAUUAUAAGUCUUUGACCGUAUACAUAUCUAACAAAUAUGAGUUCGCAAAUAUUUCAGAGAAUAUAAGUAUUGUUUUCCAAAAACUAAGGGUUCGCACUUGCGUACCCUCAGACACCCCUGCCAAUGCCAUUGUGUGAGUAGUCGCAGAAUUGAUCCAAAAAACUAUCCAAGCAUCAUUGGAUUGUUGAUAAUGAAAAAGAAGGAUACAUGGUUGUUGCUACGCCGAAUAAUUAAUGUUUUGAUUGUACCUUUCAAUUUCAGUUAAAAGGAUGAGGGUAUGACACUCCUAAUCUAUCUAAAGAACAUAUAGAUUAGACUGUAGUAACAUUUUUUAUAUUAACUAAUUAAAUUUCCUUUAACAUGAAUCACUCAUAGUCACAUAGCUGAUAACAACUACUUAUGAUUUAUUUAUUUAUUUUUUAAUGGCAAACAAGCUUUGGAAGAAUUGGUACCACAUACAUAGGUUGAACACACAUUUGAAUUGGUUGUAAAGAUACUGUAACUGCCGAUUACAAAGUUGACACAAUUCGUGGACUUAGUGGAGGUUGAGUGAUUCAAGCCCAUGUGUAGUAAUGGGCCGAUAUGGAUAUGAGGCUCAAUGUGGAAUAUAUAAGGGUUUUCUAAGGCCUCCUUCUACCAUCCUUCUACCAUUAGAUAUAUUGUUAUCCUUCAUCAUAAUCCAUAGUCAUCAUCAACAAAAAUAAGGUGAGUCUAACAAGGUGUUGCAGUGAUUGGAGAGAUAGAAGACUACGCAGAGCACUAUUGUAAGUAUUAACUUCUAUGAUUAGGUUAAUUUGAGAUUGUAUUAGUGAGUGUACUUUUGUAUUUCAAUUCAUAUACUAGAUUAUUUAUCGUCGUGAGGACGGUUGUGGAUGUUUCCUAGUGGUUGAGUUUUACCACGUUAAAUCUCGUGUCUCCAUAUUCUUUAUUGUUUUUUUAGGGUUAUUUUGUAUUUGGUCCCUCUAGAAAAUAGCUAUUUAGCAACUGGUAUAGAGUUUUUCAUUUAUUAGUAAAUAGUUCUAUUUUUGUCAGUUGACUGAGAUCAAACCAUCCUUAAUUUUCUAAUACCUAAACUACCCAUGCACGUGCUAGCCACAUGUUUUCCUAAAUUUUCAACAUCACUAUGAAAAAAAAUUUGAUAAUUGAACUUUACAAAAGAGGAAAGGUUGUUUGUUUUUAUCAAAUUAAGCAUAGUAAUUGGUUACCAAAGGAAAAAAAUAAAAAUAAAAUGAGACAUAGUAAUUGAAAAAAGAAAUGGGUAAUGGACUAAUGAUGUUCAUUUUGCAACUUUGUUAAUGGAUUUGAGGUUUUGGAGAAUACAAAAAUUGGGGUUUGUACUUUCUUUUGGGAUUCAAAUUUGAGAAGGGGGAGUGAGAAUGAUAAUUGAUUAGAUCUGAAUUUGACAUUGCUUGAUCAACUAAGAAUUGUAGAGCAAGUCUCCCAUAUGCCCAUUCUUUCAAUUGAGAAACAAGUUUGUCAUAAGCAAAUUGUUGUAAUUGAUAAGCAGCAAAAACAGUUUUAGCAAAUGAGGUAGUAUGCAUCAUGACCAUAGGAGGAGGGCAUUAGAGCCAAUUUAAUAGCUUCCUUCCUUCACCCACCAUUUUAUUCGACUCCGCCACCAACAUUCCUAACACCACCACCAUCAACUCUUGCUAUUGAAGUGAUAGAUAUGUAUCUCCAGAAACAAAACUCUAUACAAAGAAAGAAAAUUCCUACAAUUCAAGUUAUAGAUUUGAAUCUCCAACACCACCACCACCACCAUCAACACUGCUACUCAUCCCUUGAUUCACUGGUUGGACCUGAUUCCGGUGAGUUAACAAACUCCGGCGAAGAGUUUUUCAGAUGGUUGAUUGAAUGAUUUUUUUUUUCCCAAAAGAAAUUAUACACAUAAUUUUUUUUUUUUUGCACAGUAUACACAUAAUUUUUGUUUUUUUCACAGUAGAAGAAGAUGAAAAGAAGUAAUUACUAAUGAAAUCAGGAAAUUAACAGAAUUUUAAAUCUUUUGGAGAGUCUAGAUCCAAGCAACCUUUGUCACAUAUCCUUAUCUAUGCAUUUAGAUGAUCUUGAAAUGUUGAAUUAAAUGGGUUAAUGAUAUGUCGACAUGUGGUAGGAAUUUUUUCUUAAUAAUCUUUGUAGGAAAUUAGAUUCAUAUAAUAAAACACCAUAUUGAAGGGUAAUUUUGGUAUUUUAAAAUAAUAGAUGGUUUGACCUCAGUCAACUGAGUUGACUGACAGUUAAAUAACGGAAAUAAGACUAUUUGCUAAUAAAUGAAAAACUCUAUACCACUUGCUAAAUAGCUAUUUUGUAGAGAGAUCAAAUACAAAAUAACUCUUUUUUUUUUUAUUGUUUAUUGUUUAUUGUUGAAUUGCACUUAUUUGGGGCUUACAAAUACAUGAGCAUUAAGACUAUUUAAUUGUAUGCAAAAUUACAUUUUCAUGAGUUCUGCUUUCAGUGUCUUGUAUUUCACAUGACUUAGGAGUCGGACAUGGAUAUAUAUGGGCAUUCACCAUUCACCAUUCAAUUGUUUCUUUGUUUGUUAUUGAAAAAUAUAUUGAAAAUUUUGUCUCCUUUUAUUAUAAACAAAAAAUGUUGUGAUAUUGAAGUAAACUAAAUAUGUGAUACUAGCUUUUCAAUUCACUCGAUUGCAAAAUCAUUCAUUUGUGUAACAUGAUCUUGUGUUCACUCUGUCAUUAAGGUUGAACAAAAUUUACAGGCUUGAUUGAUGGUUUGGAGUGGUUCUAUCCAGAAGUUGCAUUGAGAGGUGAUCAUGGACCUAGAGGAUAUGUGUUUCAUUUAGGAAAUGGAAACUUAUGUUUGAUUGUGAGUUCCAUUGCUUGUGUAAAGUUUCCAGAUACAAAUAACUAUGAUCAGAACCAAAAGAUCUUUCUUCGUGCUGAGGUUGAGGCUUCAGCCAUUUAUAACAACCCUGAUGUAAUGUAAGUGCAAAGUGUGUUUAAUGAAUUCUUCCUGUUGUACUUUUGCCUCACCACAUUAUUUUCAGAAUGAGAAUCAGAUGAAUAACACAUAUCUUGGUUUAACACUAGCUAGCACCUUAACUGUUGAGUUCUUCUCAACAACUUCUAAGAACAACGUUCAAAUGACAAUCCUAUAGUUGUGACUGUAGAGGUUAUGUUAGGCAGUAUGUUAGUAUUGCAUAAGUAUAAUUCUAAGUAAAACCAGAAAACCCAGAAUAAAUAGAGUAUGCAAACCAGAACAAUAAUUAAGGACAGUAUGAUGUGAUCGAGUCGAGAAAAUCUCUGUCCUUAAGACAUAAUUUGCCCCAACAGGUGUUGUAUGGGUGUAAUGCAAACUGUCUCCCAGGAUACAACGAUCAAUACCUUCGUCGUGUAGCAGCACUUCAAACAAAACGAAGACGGCGAACCAGUUCAGUGAUGUAACUCUCUCAAGGACACAGACAGACUAUGAAUGAUAAUGAGUAUGAUGUUUUCGAAUGAAUGAAAAAUGCAGACACUGACAAGGUAUUUAUAGCAAGAAAAAACUAAGUGAACAGACACUUGGGCCGAAACAGUUCAUUGAACAGACACAACCAUUAAGGCCGAACAGACACUUUGGACACAACUUUUGGGCCCGAAACAGUUUCAUGAAAGGUUGCACCUAUCUGGGCCGAACCAGUAGCAAACCGGUUCGGAAUAGGUAUGCACCUAUUGGGAUUUAUUCCAAUGGACCUUUCUACUAAAAAGAUUAUGUUGGAUCACCAAGAUCCAAGCCCAAGCCCAAGCCCAAGCCCAAGCCUGAGUCCGAGACCGAGCCGAGCCGGUCGGCGCGCGCGUGUGUGUUUUUCAAGCCCAAGCCCAUGUAAGGUUACACCAAACAUUGUAACCCCAAGGGCCACACCCUUGUUGUACAUGAGGGGUUUUUCUAGACAAAACCUUAUCUACAUGGGUCAAAUGUGGGACUAUCACAUUUUCCUUGCUUUGUCUCAAGUUGUUUGGAACUUGGGACACCAAUUUCUCAUUCAAUAUGGAACAGUUUUAGACGUAUGAAUAUUCUGCGAGCAUCUACUCGGAACGAGGAUUCCAUACGUACCAAGAUAUAGCUCAAUGGAGCUCUAGAACAUAUCGAAAUGUCCAGACAAAGACCUUGUCAGAUUUCUGACAGAAUCUGUUCAAACUGUUUCCAACAGGUUAUUCAUGCAAAAUUGCAUUCUCGUGAUUUUUUUUUUAAAAUGGUUUUGGAAUUGGAAGUGAACAUAUAAACUUUACUUGCUGAAGAUCAUCUUCUACAAUGGUUUAAAUGUUUAAUUGUUUCUUCAGUUUGUUAUUGGUUUAUUUAAAUGUUUUCCUUAGAUAAAAUUUGGAGAUACUGGAGUAAGCUAAAUAGCUGGUGGAUUGCGAAGCAACCGUUAGAAUAGAGUAAAUAAUACCUGGUGGAUUGUGAAACAACAGUUCACUUUUUGGUUUGGAAAUUUAAAAUCCAGAAUUAAACCAACCAAACCCUAAUAUGUUCACCAGAUACCAUUCAAUUUAAUGUUUGGAAGUAAAUUAAUGAAUUAUUUUUAUUUUUUGUCGAUGAUUGAUUUAAUAAAUUAUAAAUUUGUUUACUUAUUUCUUGAUAUUUUUUUUUUUUUGCAAUGAGCAAGCUGGGGUUAGGCAGACCCCUACCAGUUUAUAUCAAAAAAAUUGAAUUGUUACAAAAUACCAAUUCUAAGACCUAGUGAAGAUCAUAUCACUAGCAUCCUGUGCUAGGAUUACACUCAAUUCCCUGGGAUGAGGAUUACAAAAUACACUCUCUGGUUCAUUAUUAUCCCCAAAGGUUGUAAGCCAGUCUGCAGCUCUAUUGCUUUCUCUAAAAACAUGCAUAAAGUUUACUUGUUCAAAUCCUUGCUUUGUUGCUUGAAUCUCUGAAACCAGAUGUCUUGAUCUCCAUUGUAGAGGCCCAGAAGCAUUGAUGCAGUCAAUUGCUUGUUUGAAAUCAGAACAAACAAGAAUCUUCUUGAUUCCCAACUCCUUGGCCAGUCACACUCCUUUGUAUAUUGCUUCCAAUUCAAUGCACAAGAUUGUUAUGCCCCUGGAUCCUCCUGUGUAUGCAUAUAGUGCUGCUCCAUCACUAUCUCUCAAAAUACCUCCAUAUCCUCUCCCUUGCUCUGUGAGGCUUCCAUCUGUAUGAAGUGCAGUGACUCCUUGAGGUGGCCUUUCCGAUUUACAUUGUCUGAUUAGUCUUCGUGCUUUGAGUUGCAACAAUUCCUUGAGCCUAGUAUUGCUUGAGUUAGCUUCCAUUUGUAUACUUAAGCCAUGAAACCUUUGCUUGAUAACUUGGCAUAUGCUUUGGAUGACUCCUCUCUGAUGUACAUGUUUAUCAUUGUAUAACCUGCCAUUUCUCUCCCUCCAUAUUAUGUAGACAGUAGCAUUAAUUGCCACCCUGUAGAGGUUCUUUGAGAACGUGUUCCCAUUCAGUCCCUCUGUGAUCCACUUCCACUCAUGAAUAGCAUCACCAACCUUCCUCUUACUACCACACCACCUCAAGACUUCCUGCCAUACUUCAUGUAAAAAACUGCAUUCAAAGAAGAGAUGCCACAUGUCUUCUCUAUAUGCGGCCCUACUAGUGUUGGCCAGUGGGAUGAUAGAAUUCAAUUUUGCUUGAUCAUACAAGUUUCCAUUGCAAAUUUUAGGGCCUAAGAAGUUGUGUUGAGUUCUCUGGCACUGUGAUUUGUUGCGGCAUAAACUUAAUUAUAAACGCAAUUACACAGCUCAGUUAUCAUUAGAGUCUCCAGAUCCUUUAUCACCAAGCUCAAGAGAACUGAUGGUAGUAAAACCUCGAACCAACAAGAACUGAGUGACCAUAUAGUGCAACACUACACAGAUAAAUUGUAACGACCCGACUUAUAUCACCAUCGAUAUUAUCCCCACUUAGCCAUUGCGGUCGUCUGACAGUGUGGGAUUUUUUGUGGUAAACAGUCUGUUUUCUAGGAGGUCACCCAUCCUGAGACUACUCCAGCUCGAGCACACUUAACUCCAGAGUCCAAGUUAGCCCAAAAGGCCUCGGUGAUAAUAUUAGACGGAUCUAUACCUAUAUCCUAAUGUCACAAAUUCUCCUCUCAUUGUCAUAGGACCCACCUCAUUGGCAAAUCAUCUACCGACCCGAGAUGUUACAAUCCCACCACCUUAGAGGAGAGUCGUCAUCGUCUUUGAAAAUAUACAGCCCCAGAUCUCCAACGUUCCUUGCCCCUCGUGAGAUGAGUACCCGACGCAACUGUUACCUAUUCUUGGGCUAGACACCUUUUCAGCCUACUCUCCCACCCUUGACAGGUAACAUUUGUAACGACCCAACAUUUAUCACCACCGAUAUUGUCCCCACUUAGCUAUUGUUGUCAUCCGACAGUGUGGGGUUUUUGUGGACAACAGUCUACUUCACAGAUGAUCACCAUCCUGAGACUACUCCCACCCAAGCACGCUUCACUCCGGAGCCCUUUUGAACUCAGGAGCCAAGUUAGCCCAAAAGCCCACUGAAAACAUACAUUCUGUAUAUUAUAGAUUUGUAACUUGACUGGAAAUGUUAUAGCUCCAUUUCUUUGUAUGUUUUAACCAAUUUAAAUACAAUUACCCUUUAGCAAAAAAAAAAAAAAAAAAAAGUUACUCCCUUUGUUCCAAAUUAUAAGUAUAUUAUUCCCUUUGUUCCAUUUUUAGUUGUCCCAAAAUAUAUGUCCUUUUUCAGAUUUGAAUACAUAUUAAUUAAGUUAAAUUGUUUUUUUACUUAUACUACUCUUACUUUCGAAUUAGAGAAGAUUAUGUUUAAUAAGUGAAACCCAUUAAAACGAGAUAAAUUUGGAAGUAUAGUUAGUAGACAAACAAUAAAUGAUGUUCCCUUAAUAAGUAGAAUAUUCCAAAAGAUACUUAUAAUUUGAGACGGAGAGAGUAUCAUUUUUAACUCAAAACCAACCCAGUUCGUGCGCACCCAGUCCCUACUGGUUUUAAAAUAAGACAAACUUGGGCUCACACAUUCCAUUGGAAACAUAAGAGAACAUACAUAGGAGACACAUUCCAUGAAUUGCAAGUGAAUUACUAUUUCCAAUUUAAGCAUUUCUAGCAAGGGUCAAACAACUCAAUCAUUCAGGGUAACAGACAGUCACCAUUGUGGCUAGAAUUGUAGUAGGACUUGGUGACCCGUAUAUGAUAUAUCAAGAACUCAAGGUUGUAGUUCAUCAUUAAACUUGCAUUUUUAAUAAACUGAUCAUAUUGCAUGCUUGCAUGCGAAAUUCCUUGUGGCCGUGUUUUUUAAUUUAAAGAGUCUCAACAAAAGUUCUGUUAUCAGCUGGCCUGAAUGAGAAAUUCCCAUAGAAUGAUAAAUUCCCAAGGAAGAUAGUAUAUAUAGAUCAUACAAUUGAUCCUUAUUUGGUGUAUUAUUAUUUAUUUAUUUAUUUAAACUGAGAUAAUGGAGUAAACUAAACAUAAACUGAUCACUAAUUUGUUCACUCAAAUUCAAAUUAAAUUGUUAGAGAGAUAGACAAAAUUGAAGGUUUAGAAGAGUUUCCCUUUGGGAUUUCCACAUUAACUAAGUGUUUACAUCUAAAUCCACUUAUUUCCACAAAAUUGAUCCUUAUUUGCUGUAUUACUAUUAUUACUCCGUAUUUUUUUUAUUUGAGAUAAUAUAAUGGACUAAACCUAAGCAUCAAUUGAUCACUUUUUGUACACUCGAAUGAGUAUCUUGUGAAUUCAAAUUAAAUUGUUAGAGAGAUAUACAAAAUGAAGUUCCCUUAUGCAAUAGAAGAGUUUCCCUUUUGCGGGCACUUCCACAUUAAGUGUUUACAUCUAAAUCCACUUAUUGUGACUAACAGUUUUUUCCAUGCAUUUGUUUCACAGGACAGUUCUGAAUAACUUAGAAAGUCAGAAAUCGAAUUAAAAUUGAAAAACUUAUUGUUUAAAUUUAAGGUGGUUAAAAAUUAGUGCCAGGAGGCAAAAUAACGAUAAAUUAGCUAUUUUGGUCCAAAAACUUUCACCAAAUUUUCAAUCGAGUCCACAAAGUUUUAUCUGGUCAUUUUGGUCUCAAAUGAUUGGAGUAGCAUAUCUAUACUCUCUAUUAAAGUUGGACUUACCCUUAAGAAAAAUUUCUCUUUCCAAAUUAGAGAAAAUUUGGUGCUCCAAUUGAAAAGAAUUUAACAAAAAUUAAAAUUGAAAGGGUUAUUAUUAUAAAUUUAAAUCUAAUAUGGCUUAAAUAGCUUAGAUGACUACAUUUAAUAGCACUAUGGCCAUAUCUGUCUUUUUGCACAAAUAUACUAAUGGUUACCCAAUGAAUUUAAUGAAAAUAUGGUUAUAUAUAUAUAUACUUAUUAGCAAUAAAAAAAUAAAAUAGAAUUUAAAAAUACAAAAAUUAUAAUUUCGUACUUUACCAUCUUCCUUCCACUCACGUUCCUCAUACAUCAAAUUUAAUCUAUCAUCUCUUGCUUCUCCAAAAUAGUGGUUGGAAAAAAACACACACAACCUUCAUUACAAUAGAGCAAUAGACUAUGUGAAUAUAUGUCCGAAAUAGUAAAAUAUUGUGCCUUUUCAUUUUCUUUGAGUACAGGUGAAAAAUAAAAUUAUAUUGGCUUUAUAACCAUAUAACAUAGUUAUGUUGCCUAAUUAUACCAUGAUUUUCGGGAUUACUUUAAUCUUAUUUAUUAAUUAUACUCAAACAUGAGUAUUUGAAAACUGGCCUUCGGCCAACAGUUAGCCCAGGAUAUAAAUUUAAUAGUGUUUUCCGAAAUAAUGUAUAUUCUAGACAUAACAAAAACGCAACCCAAUAACUUGACAAUGAUGUGGGGUUUUUUUUUCAAUGCAAAUUUUAUUUAAUAAAAAAUCCAAGAAUUAUAAAAAGUUAGAGGACAAUUGCGCUACAUACUGCGCUGCAAGCCCUUUUAUUAUUAUUAUUUUGCAAAAGGCAUUAUUUAGGGGUUACAAAACGGUAUGGGGUACACCUAAAUAUAAAUUUUGACAUUUUUUUUCCUAAUUUUGUCGUGAAAGUAGGGACUGGGAGAAACAGAAGAUAUAAUUAUAUUUCGGUCGCACCAUUUUUUUUACUAAAACUAAAAACCGAAGUCCAGCAAAUUUUUUUGAUUAGCCAGCAGGUGGGCUUUGAUUGUAGCUUACUACAUCCCUCUUUAUAUUAAGUAUAGAUUUGUUUAAAUGAAAUAUUUAUUAUAGCAAAUAUAUACUUAGUAUAAAUUUCGUCGAUUUGCAUGUGCUCAAAGGUACCCCCCUUGNNNNNNNNNNNNNNNNNNNNNNNNNNNNNNNNNNNNNNNNNNNNNNNNNNNNNNNNNNNNNNNNNNNNNNNNNNNNNNNNNNNNNNNNNNNNNNNNNNNNNNNNNNNNNNNNNNNNNNNNNNNNNNNNNNNNNNNNNNNNNNNNNNNNNNNNNNNNNNNNNNNNNNNNNNNNNNNNNNNNNNNNNNNNNNNNNNNNNNNNNNNNNNNNNNNNNNNNNNNNNNNNNNNNNNNNNNNNNNNNNNNNNNNNNNNNNNNNNNNNNNNNNNNNNNNNNNNNNNNNNNNNNNNNNNNNNNNNNNNNNNNNNNNNNNNNNNNNNNNNNNNNNNNNNNNNNNNNNNNNNNNNNNNNNNNNNNNNNNNNNNNNNNNNNNNNNNNNNNNNNNNNNNNNNNNNNNNNNNNNNNNNNNNNNNNNNNNNNNNNNNNNNNNNNNNNNNNNNNNNNNNNNNNNNNNNNNNNNNNNNNNNNNNNNNNNNNNNNNNNNNNNNNNNNNNNNNNNNNNNNNNNNNNNNNNNNNNNNNNNNNNNNNNNNNNNNNNNNNNNNNNNNNNNNNNNNNNNNNNNNNNNNNNNNNNNNNNNNNNNNNNNNNNNNNNNNNNNNNNNNNNNNNNNNNNNNNNNNNNNNNNNNNNNNNNNNNNNNNNNNNNNNNNNNNNNNNNNNNNNNNNNNNNNNNNNNNNNNNNNNNNNNNNNNNNNNNNNNNNNNNNNNNNNNNNNNNNNNNNNNNNNNNNNNNNNNNNNNNNNNNNNNNNNNNNNNNNNNNNNNNNNNNNNNNNNNNNNNNNNNNNNNNNNNNNNNNNNNNNNNNNNNNNNNNNNNNNNNNNNNNNNNNNNNNNNNNNNNNNNNNNNNNNNNNNNNNNNNNNNNNNNNNNNNNNNNNNNNNNNNNNNNNNNNNNNNNNNNNNNNNNNNNNNNNNNNNNNNNNNNNNNNNNNNNNNNNNNNNNNNNNNNNNNNNNNNNNNNNNNNNNNNNNNNNNNNNNNNNNNNNNNNNNNNNNNNNNNNNNNNNNNNNNNNNNNNNNNNNNNNNNNNNNNNNNNNNNNNNNNNNNNNNNNNNNNNNNNNNNNNNNNNNNNNNNNNNNNNNNNNNNNNNNNNNNNNNNNNNNNNNNNNNNNNNNNNGCAAAUUUGUUUUAUUACCACAAGAUCCCUUGAUAUAAUUCGUUCGGUUAGCAGGGAGUCAAGAGUGUGGUCCCCCUCCUCCAACACCACACACCACCACCACAAAGUCGAGAUAUGAUGUUGUGGGUUCGAAAUACGUCCGCAACUGAUUGUUUGAUUAAAAGUUUUUCCUUAUCCUCGCUUACCAAUAAUAAUAAUAAAAACUAUGUUAUUUACUAUAUAUAUAUAAUAAGCUUCAAUAAGCACUGUAUAGUUUGCAAUCCAACAUUUUAUCAUAUGCUUUAACUUCAUCUUUUCCGUAAAAUUUUUGAGUGCAUUAGUUGUGGAAAGUUACUAUAUUUCUUUCUUGCUAAAUUUAUUUUAUAUUCAAAACUUAAGCCUAAAUACCAAACAAAAAUGAAUCAAAUCAUAUGAUUAAUCUAAUUCAUGGUUUGAAUAUUCAUAAGAUUAAUCAUACCAUGGUUUAUUGUCACAUUGAAGUAAAAAUAUAAUAAAAAAUUCAAUAAUUGCUAGACAUAAUAUAUAGCUCAAAAUCUCAGUCAAACCUUCAAAAAAAAAAAAAAAAUUAACGAUAAACCAUUUCAAAAAUUGUAAUCAACCAUAUUUACGAAAAACUAAAAUAAAAUUGGUGGUAUAAUAAAAUCAUAAAAAUGACAAUUAAGCCAAUGACAUACAAUAAGUCUUUAACAAAAUAUUUCCAAUAAACUACACCUAAUGACCUAAGAGCAUUCCCAAUGGUAGGUUUUAGCACAUUUUUAGUAAACUUUUAGUGAAAACACUUGCCAAUGGUAGCUUUUAACACACUUUUCAAGCAAAACACUUUUAACUCCUUGGCAAAUUUGCCAAAGAGUUAAAAGUGCCACGUAGGAAUCCAUCCGCCAUAAUUAGUGUGGUAUGGAUCCAUGCACCAACCUUUUUUUUUUUGCUAAAACCAUUGGAAACACCAAAAUUCCUUAUCCUAUGUGGCACCACUACAAGUGUUUUACCAUUGAGAAUGCUCUAAAUUAUAUUAUUUAAUAACAACCGUGUAUCGCACGAGACUUAUAACUAGUAUGGCUCAUGACUUAACUUGAGAGCAAAUUGCAAACGAAAUGAAAGUUUGCGGACCAAAUUGACCAGAUAAAACUUUGUGGACUGGAUUGAAAAUUUGGUGAAAGUUUGUGGACCAAAAUAGCUAAUUUAUCGCAAAAUAACUGCUAGUUCAGUUGAUUUGUUGUCCCUCUCAAAACAUUCCCACGAGUGAUAGGUUGUGAGUUUAAUUCCCUUCAAUAGUGUUUGUGCGAAUUUUUCAUAUAAUUCUUAGGUGAAUCAACCUUCGUUCCUGGUUCGAGAUUAGGAGGCUCAUGCUCUUAUGAUGAUAUCUGAAGUGUUCUCAUGAUGUAGCUAGGUGUUCUUCAGGGAAAGGAAAUCUCUAGUAGCAAAAUUGCUCGAGUUCCAAGGUGGCGUUAUGGACGUCUAGGUGGUUUGCAUCAGUAGCAUUCGGGCCUUGUCUUUGUAAGCCCAUUGGGCCCUGUCCUUGUAAGCCUUCGGGCCACAAUUAAUAUAUAAUUUUUUUUUUUUGAUAAUAAAAAUUUUAUUGAUAAGAAUUCAAAAAAUUAUACAAAGUUAGAGGACAAACGCGCUACAAAACUGCGCUUCAAGUCCUUUUUGAAUAGCAAAACUACCCACAUUCCAUUAAACUCACCCAGGUCACUUCUUCUUUUGCUAGUAUAAUCAAACAAUGAAUUGAUGUUAAUUUUUUUUCCCUAGUAAAAACUAAAAAUUGAAAAAAAUCUCCUAGUUCCUUCAACUAAUUCUCAUAUUGCUAGAUUUUUAAGGGUUCUCACUUAAAAUAAAAACUCCCAAUUAAAACUAUAUGCCAAAGACUUUCUAGUGAUGUUGCAAACAAAGGUUACCUGAAUAAAAAGGUCACCUGGAUAAACAAAGAAACUAUUUGUAUUACUAGUUUGUUUGUUUGGUUCAUUUGAACUUUUAGAUAUUAAUUAAGUUUGUUUAUUUGAAAGAUUUGAUUGCAAUCUUUAAGAUGUGCAAUGUAGGAAUAUUUUUCUUUAUACACCAACUUAAUUCUGGGAUUUUUGGCAGCUCAUUUUGUUGAGAAUAUUCAGAUUUUUUUUUAUCUGUAACUAGAUUGCCGAAAAGCAUAUUUGAUACUUCAAAAGCUUAAACACGAUUCUCUUUUUUUUUUUUUUUUUUUUUUUUUGUAACAGUUGACUUACUACAAAUAUAAAUAGUUACAUACUAUAAACAUCCAGUAUGAUUUCUUCAUCUAUCAUUUCUACAUCUUCUCUUAAUCUUUCUUCUCUCAGGUCUCUAGCUAGACCAGCCAGUUCAGGUACUUCUCUCGAUCUUUCUGUUAAUGAUUUUACUAUGCUUAUUUGAUUUGAUUGUGAAUGUGAAGAAAAUCAAAUUCCUAUGUUUUUUUUUAAUGUGCAGAAACUGACAGAUAACAAGUAUGGUGGGUUCUUUCAACAAUCAUCAGGGUCUCUUGAAACUGUUUCUGGUGCUCGUUGCAUUUUCCGGGUGGUGUUCACCAAUUAGUGGAAAUAAAGUACAUGUGGUUGUGAGAAAUGACAUUGGAAACAAUAUAUUGUUGAACCUCCAAUGCAGAAAUACGCAGGCGUACACUAGUGAACUUGGUUCAUACAAACUUGGUUACAAACAACUGGUUGAGUGGAGGUUUGAAGCCCAUACACAUAGAAUUUGGUGCUAUGCUUCCUGGCACUAUAACUUUUAUUUGAUGGAAGGCGGGUUCUAUGUAUACCGUGGUUUGGAAGAUGUAGAUAAAUGCCAUGAAAACUGCAUCCAGGAUGCAAAAUUGGAUGGUGUAUGGGGUUACACUAACAAUGGUCGGCCGUAUAUGAAAUAUAAAUGGUAUCGGCCACCAAAGGCUUUAGGGGAGGAAAUCAAAGUUUAAGUCUGGAUGGUUGUCAGAUCUUUAUUGAGUGAAGUUGGUAAUAAGCUAAAAUAAUAAAGGUGAUCGAGUAAAAUUAUAUGUAUUUCACUAGUUAUUUGCAUCGCUAACCAUGAAUUAAUAUGUCUAUCACUGAAAAAAUAGUUAGGGCAUAAUUAAGUCGCAUUCGCAGAUGUACAUUUCAAGCUAGUUGCAAAAUUAAGGCAAAUGAUACCUAAAUUCGUGAAAAUUAAACCUAAAUUCAAAUCUAAAUUGAAAUUUGGAUGUUAAAUCAAAGCUCCUAAAAUCAAUUGAUGCUCUUUAAAAUUCAUGCAUAACUAAAUCAAGAGCACAUGGAGCAAGAGCUUGUACAGUUGUUGUGGAUUCUGCCAUGGCACUUCUGCAUUCCCAAUGUACUAGGAGUUCAGCAACUGAGUGACAUUUUUUCACAUCCAUAAUGUACAAUUCACUCUUUAAGCACCUGCGCAGUAUUAAACACUGCACCUUCAAAGAUGGAGUCCAGAUAAAAAGUAAUUACAUUGCAUAUGCAUGUAUAACCCUAGUCAUACAUUCGUUACUGGAAAUAACCGAAACUCGUAAAUAAAAUUUGAAAUAACAUUAUUCGAUAAAUAAAACUUCAUCCUAAGUCCAUCCAUAAACAUCAUACUAAGUCCAUCCAUCCUAGAAGAAGUCUGAAAGAACAUGUCCUAAACCAAAAAGAAUUCAUAAACCAAAAAAGUACGGGAAAUUUAGACUUAACCCCCCAAAUAUUGGACUUGUUUUGAUUAAACCCCCACAUAUUUGAAAAUUUUGACUUUGCGCCCCUUUUUUUUUUGCACACAAGUAAGGAUUUGUAUUAAUGAACAAAAGAAUGUUACAUCAGAGAGAAUGAAAAGGACCAGUUACAAAAAUGCCCUAAGGCUUACAUCUAUUUGAAUCUGUAAUAGAUCCCAGCUGGACUUUCAAUGGCAGGGACAAAAUCCGGUUUAUGCGGCGACCAAAUUGAGAACCCAGGACCAAGAGUUGCACCCUUCUUUGAUGCAGCAUCUGCCCCAAAAUUAGCCUCCCUAUAGGAAUGAGACAACUUCCACUGUGUGAGCUUUGCAGUAGCACUUUUCCAUCUAGCCACCAAGUUGCACCCCCACCGUUAGCUUCCGUCCAAUUUUCCAUCAAACUCUAUUUUUGCUUCCCCAAAUGUCCUUCAUUCUCAUAUUAGCUAAACCCCCUUAUUUUUUGCAUUUUUUUUAUAUGACCCCCUACAAACAAAAAUAAGGAUUGAAAAUCAAAUAAAAAAGGGAAAUUUAGAUCUAAGAAAUAGAAGACACAUAAUGCAAAGAUUUACUUUCCCCAUUGUUCAUACACUUGUAGAGUGACCUUCCCCAUUGUUCAUUAUUGCGAUUGUUUCGAUUUCAAAUGACUAAUUGUAGAUCUAAGAAGAAGAAGAAGUCUUGAAGGAGAUGUUGUUGCUUCAAUUCAUUUAGAAGAGAUGUGAAGAAGAAGAAGAAGAAGAAGAAGGAGAUGUUGUUAUUUUGGUUUAAGUUUAUUUUUUCUAAGUUGAAAAGAUGUGAAGAAGAAGGAGAUGUGAAGAAGAUGAAGGAUUACUCCACAGUAAUUCUAACAAAGCUUUCUUAGAUCUAAAGAGUUAAGAUGGUGACAAUGUAGAAGAUAAGGUAAAAAAAAAAAAAAAAAGUAAAUUGAAGGUUUUAGCUAAUAAAAGAAUGAGGGGCAUUUGGGGAAGCAAAAAUAGAGUUUGGAUGGAAAACUAGACGGAAGCAAACGGUGGAGUGUAAAAUCAAAAUUUUUAAAUAUAUAGGGGUUUAAUCAAAACAGGUCCAAUAUCUGGGGGGUUAAGUCUAAAUUUCCCAAAAAGUACUGGACUAUCCAAAUGAAUAGAGAAAAACACAAGUUCAAAGACAAUCUCAAUGAAACCAAACAUAACUCAAGCAUUAGCCUUCUCGAGUUUAUCCACUAGCCAACUCAACCUCAUAUCUUCAUGUAUGAGUAGAAAGACAUCCCCCAUUUUAGUAUUGAUUGCUAAGUACUCCAGUCCUCGGACAUACAAAAGCCUAUCUUCACUAGUCACCUUUUUUAGUGCAGUUCCUAUGCGAUCCGUGUAAGUUUCAGGGGUAGAAAAGGAGUUAGACAGACAUUGGACAGCUUCCAUGAUUCCUUUGGCAUAGUUUGAAUCUUGCGCAAAGCGAAAUUUCUUACGCUUACAUGGCAAUUGGACAUUCGCCCGAGGCGGAAGCUCAACCCUACCAGGUCCAUUGCUACUCUCACCUUGGUUGCCAGUAUUUGUUGUUGCUUGUGUUGCCCCUUCGGAUUGUCCACCAUCCACAACAAUAACUUCAACUUCUUCUUCCUCUUCUUCGUCUUCCCCUAAACAAACUGAUACAUACAAAAGUGAAUACUAUCCUUCAAAAUUAUAAUUAAACAAAUUAAUAUUUAGUUAUCAUACCAAGUACGAUAGGAGACUCUUCUCCACCAUUGUUACCACCACCAUUUGCGACCUCAUUACCAACAAGGAUACUCAUAGCAUCAUAGUAUGGGAAUGACUUUCCUUGGACCUUCUUUGCUUUGGGAUGAGCCUACACAUUUUACAUCAAUUUAAUGAAUUUGUUGACAUAGUUAACAUGUAUGUUAUAAUAAAUCAAUUGAAACUACAUCUUACCUGAAGAAAACGCGCAAAUGCAUCAGGAUCCGCAUUAACUACCUGAUUCUUUUCUUUAUCCCACUCGAAACCAAACCCGCUAGCAUCUAGUGGUGCUUUAACAACAGAGUAGUCAUUUUUCAAUGUCUUAUACUUGGACCUUACAUUCUCAUGAUCAAUAUUCAUACCUAGGGCAUUGUUUACAGCUGUAGCAGCUGCUGUCAUAGAAUCCUUCUUGAUUGCAUUUUCAGCUUUCUUACCAUCCCCAGCAACCUCUUCAAGCAAGGUAGAUAUCAUGAUCUGAGUCAUUCUUGUCGUCCACCUUUGAUGCGUUUUGGAUGGUUGUUGUGCUAUUGGUGGUGUGUAGUUCUGAGGUGGAAAGUAAGGAUCCAUCGGUGGUUGGGACUGAUUGUUCUUCUUUUACUUUCCCUUGCCAGUCUUAAAUAAUCCAGACGACAUCGCACCUAAUCAACCAAUACAUAUCAUAUAAGAAUUGUUAAACAUGUAGCAUUAAUGUAAUAAAAUCAUCUCCAAAAUGUAUAUUAUGGUCACAUCAUCUUAAACAUCAUCAUGAUAAUCCAAGCUUGCAUACUAGAACAAAUUGUAAUUAUCAAUAAAAGCUAUCACAAAUAUCAAAUCGCACUCAUCAAUAAGAUUCAAAUUGUACUUCAAUAAUAAUCAACUUGGUACUUAUAUAAUAUCAAAUUGUACUUAUCAAUAAAUAGGUGAUAUUAGGCUGGCAAUAUGACCUGAAACCAGCCAACCUGACCUAAAACCCACGUGCCAAUAAUGAGUCUAGGUAAUGCAUUUAUGGGUUUCGGGUCUAAUUUGCGUUAACCCACAAAACCUGUUAUGUUAAUGGGUGGGUUUCAGAUUUAGCUUUUAUACUCAUGGGUAAAUCUGCAAACCUGUUUAAUAUUUUUUUUUUUUUAUUUUUAUUAGUGUGGUCCAUACAUCAAUAGAUCACUAGAAAAUAACUUAAGUAAUAUAAAUGUAUACAGGUCCUAACCAUAAUUGGAUAUCUGGUGCCAAAUCGUCGUUUCUUUCCUUAUUUUUUUGAUAAUGGAGUUGGCUAUCUUUAAUGCAUCAAUUGUACAAGUUCGUGAAGAUGGUUGUGGACGCAAUAUACUCCAUACUUCAUUUCUUCUACAGUUCUACAAUUCUACUCCACUAUUUCAAAUCCUAAUUAAAACACUUGUACAGAUCCCACAAGUGGCUAAUUAAGUAAAAGUAGUUAUAAGAGAGAUUUAGACAUACCCCCCAGAAAAGUUUGCACUCUUGAGAUACCCCUCAGAUUGACCCCUCAGAUUGAANNNNNNNNNNNNNNNNNNNNNNNNNNNNNNNNNNNNNNNNNNNNNNNNNNNNNNNNNNNNNNNNNNNNNNNNNNNNNNNNNNNNNNNNNNNNNNNNNNNNUCAUUGACCAGUUUUUCUUUCAUAUUGACAAAAAUAUCCUUCAUCAUAAAAAUAACAUGUCACCCAUUAUUAAUUGAAUUAAUCUCCACCACCCAAAAGCUAGAUCUAUAAUUUGCCAUCCAAAAUCGAUGGUCUAGAUCAUAACUUCCUUCUCUAAAUAACCACCACCUCCAUCCUUAACUACCACCACCCACCACCACCAUCUCCAAUUACCUUAACUUCACCACUUCCACAACCCAACCGCCGCCACUAUAUAAACUCUAAACACUCCAUUACCAACACCACCACUACCACCAACCAUAUAUACCUCUAUUACCACCAUCUUCAAAAUCCCACCACCACUAUCUCACACAAUCACACUCCACCACCAUUAAUUUUUAAACCAUAUCAUUAACAUCAUCUCACUUUCUUCACAUUCCAUCAUCAUUACCUUAAUCUUCACACCCAUUACUUUUUCUUUCAAACCCAAAUCCAAUCUCCACCAUUUUCUUCAUCACAAUUUCAACAUAUUUUAAUUGUUUUGAAAGACAAAGUUCACCAAUUACACAAAUGGUGGUGGUUUUAGUAUGCUAAUGGUGGAGGUGAAUGAGUGGAGAUGGUGGUGGUGGGUUGUGUGUUAGGGAUUGUGGGGUUUGGGGUUAGAUAUGGUGGAUGUUUAAUAAUUAUUAAUUAAUGAGAUUAAAUCUAGGUUGAGGGGUAUUUUAGUCUUAAAACUUUAAAAAUUGGUUAGACCAUGGUCAACGACUUGGUUGACCGGUGAAAUGAGAAAAUAAGGGGUAUCUCUAAUGAUUUUCAAAUCUGGGGGGUAUCUCAAAGAGUGCAAACUUUUUGGGGGCGUAUCUCUAAAUCCCCUAAUUAUAAACUUAUACUCCCUCCAUCCCAAAUUAUAAGUACGUUUUGGAAUAUUCUACUUAUUAAGGGAACAUCAUUUAUUAUUUGUCUACUACUUAUACUUCCAAAUUUACCCCUAUUUAAUGGGUUCCACUUAUUAAACAUAGUCUCUAAUUAUUUUUAUUAGAAUAUUUACUCUAAUUCCAAAACAAGUGUAGUAUAUAGGGAUGCUCAACUUGCCCCGUGACCCGUUCCCCGCCCCAUUUUUUAUCUCCCCCCCCACCAUAUUUUCCCCACCCCGUGCCCCGUUCCCCACAGCGCAUCCCCGCCCCGUAUCCCUGCCCAUUGCAUUUUCAAAUGAUUGUGUUAUUUGUUAAUUGUUCUCAAAUUAGUAUCGAGCGAUAGAUUUUCUUACUUUAGAGGAACAAUCACUCACAUAUUUUCAUCUCAAGUUCCAAACAGUUUAAUACAAUAAAAGUGGUCAAUAUAUGCAUUCAUAUUUUGCUUUUUAAAAAUGAUGAUAUUAAUAUUCCUGCCAUGGAGUAUAAGCAUAAUUAAUAUUAUCAAUAAAUAAUAAGGAUCAUGAAUCACGUAAUUAAUCACUAACAAAUACACAUACCUUGUCCAUAGCCAUUGAUGAUCCGAGAAGCUGCACAAGAUCUAGGUUUCACUCUCCUUGCCUCUUAAACCCUAAUAUGUGUUGUAAUAGUAAGUGUAUGAGGAUGGAGAUCAUACACCAAUUUAUAGAGGUGGAGAGAGGACCUAAAUCUACAAACCUAAGCCCAUUAGAUCUAGACCGUCCAUCAUAGUUAAGAUCUACGGUAGAUAUGACUUCCACAUAACCUAUUACUAAUUAGCUUAUUUCUAUGUUAAACCAAGGUUAAAGGUACAUGGACAACAUUAUGGGUUGGGCUUUAUAUGUGGAAAUUCCAACAGUCUCCCACUUGGUCCAUAGUAAAAUCUCACAUACGGUUUAAUGUAGAAUACAUUAGGCGCGCAAUAAGAGCUAAAUUAGUUUCCGAAAUGGUUAUCAUAAUACCGUCAUUAAUUAAACCACUAAUAUGAGUCAUGGCGGUUCCACAUCGCGUAAAUGACAUGGUUCCUUUCAUGUACUACGAUAUCAACAAUUUAAUUAACUAGGUCUAUAAGUGGAAGUAACAAUAAUGGUCCAGUAAUGUCUUCGUAAAAGACUAUUUAUGUCAACAAUUAUCCAUUCACAUACAUGUACAUAAACAAUGGAAAACAGAAAAUUCAGAACUUAAUCAAUAGUAAUGAGCUCAAAAUAAUGUCAAAUAAUAAGCACUAAGUAAUCCACAAAUCAUUAAGUUAUAGGUUACAUUCAAAACCCAACUUGUUAACAUGAUGCUAGAAUAUCAUUAUUUCUACCUCUUAAGUUAGUGGAUUUACUAACACGUGUACUAAUGUGUUCCAUUGACACUCAUUUGUUCUAAACUUAAGCCAUAAUCAAUAGGUAUUUUAUAUCAUGUGGUAAACAUUAGAAUACCUAUCAUUCUUACAAAGGCAUAUAGUUGCAACAUUAUUACAAUAAAAUUCAAACGACUUAGAAAUUAAUAACUCUAAGACAUGAUAUAAAGUUUUGCAACUAUACAACAUUGCAUGUAGUUAUUUUACAACAUGCUACAAAUUCGGCUUCUAUGGUGGGUGAAACAAUAAUGUUUUAUCGACUAUCCAUACACCCAUUAAAUUCUGAAUUUGUAAAACCAAUCACCUCAAGGUGAUUAAAUCUCUUAAAAUAUGAGCAUACGGUUUCUCUUUCAUUCGUUCUUGUUCCAAUUCAUUCAUAGGACCUUGAUUUAGUUCAAAUAUUCCCCCUUUGAAUUGGAACAUCAUUACAAUUAUGCCUUAACACAUUAAAUCUAUCCAAAACUUUAUUAAUGAAAUCUUUCUGAGACGUUCCAACAAUUACUGUGAUCAAUCCGAAAUAUUUUUAUUUCUAUCACAUAUGACGCAUCAUCAUAACUUUCAUUGCGAAGUGUUUAGACAGAAAAAAUGUUUACAUAAAUGAAAAUCACUGCUGCGAAACAAUAAAUCAUCAACAUACAUAAUCAAAAUAAUAAACGUACUCCCACUGAACUUUGGGUAUGUACAUUAAACCCAAAGGUUUGAUACGAUUAAUCAUUAGGUACCAUUUUCGAGAAGCUUGUUUUAAGUCUGUAUAUUGACUUCUUUAACAAAAUAGAUUAUGUGUUCUUGUCCUUCCUUUAUGAAGUUGUGUGGCUAAUUAAACCAUGUAGACUUUAUCCAAACUUUCAUUCAAAAUAUCAUUUUCACAUUUAUUUGGUGUAACUCUAAAUCGAAAUGAGUCACCAAUGCCAUAAUGAUUCUAAGAUAAUUCUUCUUUAACACAUAAGUGAAGGUUUCACGCACGAGAAAGUAAUGCCACCAUAUUGAGUAAACUGUUUGGAUACAAGUCUUGUUUUAUGGCAUUCAAUAGAACCUUUUGAGUCAAUUCUACUAACCCCAGACUUAGUUAAAAUCCACAUUUAAUUUAUCUCUUCAUUCAUGGCAUGAAUCUUUUUAUCAGAAUUACUAUAAGUAAUGGCUUGACUUUAUGUUUAUUGUUGUUAAGCGGUGCAACAACAUGAGAAAAACCAGAAGUAACAAUAAUAUCAUUACAAAAAAAAAAAAAAAAAUUGAGGUAACAAAAUUGGUACCCUAACUUCUUUAAUGAUUACCUCUUUGAUAUGAUCACUCCCACUGAUUUUGCCAUUCAUAAUGAUCAAUAAUUUCCAGUUUCAAUAAUUCUAGUGGUAUGGUUAGGAUAGUAAAAUCUAUACCCUUUAGACUUUUCUAGAUAAACCCUAAAUGUGUAAAUGUCUUAAACUAGGUUUCCAUCUUUUCCACAUUUUAAAAGAUGUUUUUGUAACUGCCUUAAUAGGAACCCAAUUCAAUAUAUACACUUCGGUUUAUAAAGUAUACAUCCACAAUGAUAUGGGUAAAUUAGAAUUACACAUCAUACUUCAAACCAUAUUCAUAAGGGUUUGAUUAUGCCUUUGAGCUACACCAUUCUGUCAUGGAAAACCAGACAUUGUGUAUUAGGCACAAAUUCCUAACCGUUCUAGAAGUUUGGCAACCGGGAUGUUGUCCCGUGUCAUAGAUCAUACUUUCCAAGAAAUUCACUACCUCUAUCAAAAUGUAUAGUUUCCACCUUUCUAUUUAAUUGUCUCUUAACUUCAGUUAUGUAAAUUUCAAUAACAUUUACAUAUGAGACUUAUUAUGCUAUAGAUAGAUACAAUAACGAGAAAAAAAUCAUCAAUAAAGGUAAUAAAAUACUUUUCUCCACCAAAAGAUGGAACAUCAAAAGUUCACAUAUGUCUAUUUGAAUUAUUUCAAGAAGCGUACUUCCUAUAGCUCUUCUUAGUGUGUUUGUUUUGCUUGACUUAAUGCAUUCCACACGCACACACACCCACACACCAAAAAUAGUAAAGUUAAGGUUCGGGAAAACCCCUUUUUUUACUAGUCUACUUUUCAUCUAGAUGUAUAAUCCAGUCUUUUAUGCCAUAAUAAAGAUAAACAUUAAUCAUAAUCAAUUCACUAAGGGUUAGGAAUACCAAUUAAGUUUGAUCGAACCAUACUAAAACCAAAAGCUUACCUUUUAUAUUAAACAAACGCCAUAUUCACAUAAAUGGCAUUGGCACACACAUAGUGUAUAUCCAAACACAAUUAGAGAAUUGUUCAUUCAACUUCUUGAAACAUGAAUUAAGCUUGAGUGACAUGAUUAUAAUGUUGUUUAAGCCUUGCCUAUACUUGAACUAGUAGUCUCGCCAUUUAAUUCACAUUCCACUUGUCUUUAAUAGUGUAAUAGUGAAACUGAACAUACUAUGUAGGCAAGAAAUUUAGAACAAAUUGGAGGACAAAGUAAUCAUCCACUAACAUGUCUAAAUUCUUUAAUUUAACAACUAAAUUGGAAAACUCAAGGAUACAAUCAUGCAUACUAUGAGUACUAUGAAUAGUAAUCAGUUCAACAAUUAACUUUUCAGCUAGCAGUGCGAAAAUGAUUCUUAAUAUUAUUCAUCAACAAUUAUUCACAUAAACAUUGAGUUUAAUUUGCAUGUUCAAUCUAGUUCAUGCAUAAUGCAUAAUUUUCUCCUUUUUACUGCUUUUAUAAAAUAACAGUAGAUUCAACAAUAAGGAAAUAUAUGCCAAGAUCUAGAACUCCCACUAAAAUCAACUAGACUUAUUCAUUCUAGUUCAUUAGUUUUAUUAAGGAUAAAACAUACAAAAUAUACGAAAUACAAGAAUAAUAGAACGAGAAAAAUAAACAUGCUCACAACAUUAGUCAACACAUUAAUUAAACAAUAUGACUAAGAUUUUUAGUAAUACUAUAAAUGGGUGACAUAUCACAUGAUCAAAAUAAGCAUGGUAUCUGUGGAUAUCGUACACUCAUUUAAUCACAAAUACGUGCAACCCCUUAAUUUUAUUCAAUCUAACAUAUGCCUGAUCUACCUGUGGGUAGCUCAAUAAUGCAAGUGAAUAAAUAGGCAAUAAGGUACUUAGUCUAACAUUCAACACAAUAUUUAGUUCACUGUGGUGAAAACCAAAUCAUAAUAUAAAUGGUCAAUGAAGUUUUAAUAUUCAUUAAACAUAUUGGAAUCACUGCAGUAGAUACCAAUAGAAAACUUGAUAUGAAUAUAAAACAGAAAACAAUGUCCAUAAUCGUAAUUGGUUCACUAUGGUAAUACCAAAUCAUGAUGAUAUGAACCUUAAGGGAAUAAACAUGCAGCUGAAUAAAUGCUACAAGAUCAAAAUAUCAUAAUGCAUCUUAAUCAUAAGAAGUGCACAAUUUAAUAAAUUCAACUAGGGCAUAUGCAUAAUAUGGGUGAAAACCAAGAAUUAUCAUAAGGCAUACAAGUCUGAAUUAGACAUGGAAGCAACUAACAUUAACCUACUGUACAUAUGUGACUAAUAUAUGACAGAGACAUGAAAGUAAAAUACAUCACAAUAUAAACUAGCACAAAAUGUCUAACUGUAAGACCCAAACAUAUUAACUAUGGGUUGUGACUGUAAGGCUUGUGCAAACAUUAAUUAGAAAAUCUUGUGCAAACAGUAAUUGAUAGAAAAUACCAAAGUACCAAAACAUUAAUGGACAAUCUUCACGUCUAAACUAUAAUUGGUUCAAUUUUACUUGAUGGUAUAUUCAUGAGAAUAAUAUUCAUAAACAUACUUGGAUUCACUGUGGUGAAUACCAAUAAAACUUAAUAUGAAUGUUGCAUACAAAGACAAUAUAUAUACAUUGCAUGAUCAUGGAAACAAUGGAUGCAAGAACAAUACUCUGAACCACACGUCCCAUUGACUCAUUAUAUGAUUUCGGUAUUUUGUCAGGUUACCGUAAUGACAUAUUCUUCGUGAAGAGGUAAAUCACAGUAAUAUGGUUCACAACUUAUUGUAUAGAACAUUGAAUUGUUGAAUUUAAUUAUUGGACCUAAAACAUGCACCUAAGUAUGGGCUAUAAUAUUAAGGCCCAAAGGUUAAACAAAUUAUGAUUGGAAAACUAAGCAGUAUUAUGGGCUGUAACAUUAAGGCCCAAAGGUUAAUAAUACAUAACAAUUAAUUUUCUAACGGACUCAACAAAUACAAUAAUACAUAAUACAUAAUGGGCUAAGCAUUAAGGCCCACAUGCUAAUAUCGUCGUCUUCUACGAGAUGAACAGGAAACAUGAGCUAAUUGUUACAUGUUGUGUCGUACUGUAUGAUUGUAUGAAUAGCUAGUUUAAACGUGAACCAUUAGGAGCAAUUAUAGUAGUUAGGACAGAAAGAAACUUUGUUCUAAUCUUAAUAUUUAAUUCAAUUAAUCAUAACAUCAUGCAUGGAUAAUAAUCAUACUCAUGCAUACAAAAAUACAAUUAAUAUCCCUUAAUAUUAGCAUACAAUUAAUACUCAUAACUUGUUACUGAAUUUGUAUUGAGAAUCAUUAAUUAAUGUUUUAGAUGUACUAUGCAUAUCAGCAAAUGCCCACAGUAUAGCUUAUUAUUAAGAACAAAAACAAGCUUUAUUCUAAUUCUUAUUACUGUAUUUGAUUCUAGUUAAUCAUACAUCAUGCAUAUUACUGCCAAUCACUAGAGAGUAGAGACGAAACGUGUAGCACCAGCAUAAAACCCAUUAGCCCACAUACACAAUAUUAAUGAACAGUAAUUAACAUAAAGCUACUAGCCAUGAAGAACAAAUUAUUGCUGCUGAUCUAAUAAUACAUAUGGAUAAUGACGUGAUGUUACCCAUAGGUCCCAUCCAUUAAAGAAGAUGCGUACAUAUGUUGAUAUGAAUCAUAUGAUCAAUAACAUGAUUCAACUACAAUUGAUAUGAUUCUCAAAUAUACUAAGCAAGUUUGUAAUUAUGAUAAAAUACUAUGUACUUUAGGCGGAAUCAUAAAAUAGUAUUAAUCUAAACGAUGAUGUUAGAAUUAAAAACAUUAUUCAUAUUGGCGACUGAUACCACAUAUAAGCAUAAUUAAUAUUAUCAAUAAACAAUAAGGAUCAUGAAUCACGUAAUUAAUCACUAACAAAUACACAUACCUUGUCCAUAGCCAUUGAUGAUCCGAGAAGCUGCACAAGAUCUAGGUUUCACUCUCCUUGCCUCUUAAACCCUAAUAUGUGUUGUAAUAGUAAGUGUAUGAGGAUGGAGAUCAUACACCAAUUUAUAGAGGUGGAGAGAGGACAUAAAUCUACAAACCUAAGCCCAUUAGAUGUAGACCGUCCAUCAUAGUUAAGAUCUACGGUAGAUAUGACUUCCACAUAACCUAUUACUAAUUAGCUUAUUUCUAUGUUAAACCAAGGUUAAAGGUACAUGGACCACAUUAUGGGUUGGGCUUUAUAUGUGGAAAUUCCAACAUGGAGAUCAUCACAUCCAAAAUUUAGUUGGAUUAAAACAUUCUUCCUCACUUAGUUUCAAUCAUUUUCCAUACAGUUUUAUUUUUGUUGUCGUUGUUGUUGUUGUUUUUGUUUCGGACUUUGGAUGUAAUGACUUUAAAGCUAAUAGAGUUCAGCAGCAACUUCCAGGUUUACUGACCCUGUCACUAGGUAAUAAUUACAUGUAUUAGCAGCAACUUACAGCAACAUUACAUGUUUUCUACUUUUUUUUAGAGUAAUAAUUACAGUAUUACUUGCUGGAACAGUAAUUUUUUACCAAAUCACUAAACUUGUUACACUCCUAUAUAUAUUCAUUGCAGAAUCUGUCAAAUAUUUUACCAAAUCACUAAACUUGUUACACUCCUAUAUAUAUUCAUUGCAGAAUCUGUCAAAUAUUUUACUUGUUGUUCAAGCACAAGAUUACCAAGAUUGUGUUUCCUUGUUUGUAUUAAUCAUAUUUUCCCCGUCCCCGCCCCGCCCCCGACCUGUACAGGGCAGGGAUGGGGUGAAAUUUCUUAAGCCAACCGUUCCCCGCCCCGCAUAAGAACGGGGAUUAUUUGGCCCCGCCCCGCCCCAACCACGCACACUGUUCCCCUGCCCCGUCCUGCCCCGCCCCAAUCAGCACCCCUAGUAGUAUAGGUAAAAGAACAAUUUAACUUAAUUAAUAUGUAUUCAAAUAUAAAAACGGACAUAUAUUUUGGGACAACUAAAAAUGGAAUAAGGUACUUAUAAUUUGGGACGGAGUGAGUAUUCAAUUUUGUUUUGGAACAAUUAAUGAUUUAAUGGGUAGAUUUAUUUUUUUCUUAAUUUAUAUAAGUAUGUCUGACAGGUCGGGUUCAGGUUUACUAGCAAGGCUGCAAAACAAUGGGUUGGGUUCAGGUUUGAAAAUAUAUACCCAUUAAUGUUGUAAGCUCUCUUUCCUUGAUGAGCUCAGCUGGGUCCUUCAACUGCUUCAACGGUAGUACCUGCAAUGACCACCGGACAAUGACCGGUGGAUAAAGCUCCAACGAUCAAGUCAGUAAGCGGCUAGGUUUAGAGAAUAGGUUUUUGCAAAGAAUGAAUAGUUACCUCUAGCGAACCCUAACGUGAUCCUUUUAUAGUAAUAUUCACCGCCUUCCUUGAACCGUUGGAUCCUCCUUUGCAUCCUAUGGUUCUCUUAUCUCCUACGUGUUUCAUUCUCCAUCACAUAAUAUAAAGUGAAUGCUUGACAGCCUGACAUCACGUGCUCUAUCCGUGAUACUCUAGAAUGUUCUGAACUCCGAUUGGGUACUUCCCAGUUUACUCUCCCUAUCUAGCUCCUGUGUCCUCCAUACUCCAUAUAACAUGGUUUGGUACUUACAAAUGUAACAGGUUGCGUUUGGGUUUAGGCUCCCUGCCAACCCAUUAGACACGACCUGAAACUUAUCCAGCCCAACCCGAUUGCCACUCCUAGGUAAUAUUACAAUAAGUCAAAGAUUGAUAUUUCCAAUUUAACCAACUAGGCCCAAACCCAAUGUUUUAGGGCCACACCGAUAUAUCUAUUGUUAGAUUUGGUCCAAAACUCCAGUAAAUGAUUUCCAGUUCUACAUGAAAUUUGCAUUCUUAUGAACUUAACUUAUAUAGUAUGAUGCAUAUACUUUACCACAAAAUUAUUACAUCCAUCAUCCAUGGUAUGCAAAUUCAUCGCAGACUCGCAGUGUUUUUAAUUUUCUAUGACUAAGUAUAUUAUUACGUGUAUAUACACAAGCAAGCCUUUUUGCCCAUGUAAUAAAUAGACUUUUAGAUGUGGCCCAUUUGUUUAUUGUGAAAUUACAAAUUUAGUAUUUAAUUAAGUUGUGCCCCAUUUAUUAACAUCUAUUAUAUAUAUAUUUUUUUAACCAAAAAUAAAUUUUAUUGAUAAAAGAAAAAUUACACAAAGCUAGAGGACAAGCGCGUUACAAACUGCGCUACAAGCCCUUUUUUUUUUCUUUGAUAAAAACCAACCUUAUAUUAAGUAAUGCAAAUAUGUUCAACAAACAAAUUACAAAUGGCUGAAAUAGGUACAUUUCUAAAUUGAUUUUUUACCCAGCCAGCAAACUAUGGGCAUCAAUAUUGACGAUCUUUAUACACCAAAUAAAAUUAACAAAAUGAAUUUUUUUAUAAAAGACACAAUAAAGACCCAAAAAUUGUCUUCCUCGACCAACAAAUAUUAUCACUACUCUUGGAAAUCACAACAUCAAUUACAACUUUAAAAUCUCCUUCAAAUAGAAUAUCUUUAAUGUUGCAUUUCAUUGCAACCAUCCCCGCGCAUUCAGCUGCUACAACUUCAGCAGCUUCAGUGUAACGCCCCGGGAUUUCGUCAUCGCUCAUCCCGGUGCGUCGAGCACCAUACCGCUCGUUAAUGUCAAUAUUGUCCCCCUUUAUUCACUGCGGCUAUCCAGCAGUAGAGGGUUUUGGAUCAGGGUCCACCCAUGUGGUUUACCCCACAAGGCCUUGACAUUAGUUAGAGUAUGGUUAAGCUCUUUAUACUACCAAUACAACCAUUUCUUUGGUAAUGUGGGACUAACACCAACUUAUGGGUGUUACAUUCAGCAUUAGUAGUUCUAAAGUUUCUAGAAACACACGCCAACACAAUACCAUAUCCAUCUCUAACAAUAAUACUAACAGUUGCAUGACAUGUCGAUCUUCCUGUCAAAACCCGCAUCAAAGUUAACUUUAAAGUAUCGUGCAACAUGUGUUCAACCUACACAACUGUAUUGGUUCCAGUAAUAAUAUAUAACUUGUCCCUUGUCACACAAAUAUCAUUGUUUCUUUAAACUCCAAGCAUAUUUAGUUUUAUGAAAAAUAUUAUCAUACGAACAAGGAACUUUAGAAAAAAUACAUCCAUUCUUAUGCAAACCAUAUAUGAAAGAGAAGAUAUAUAGCAUAUCUAUAAUCUAUUAUACUCUAUUAAAACAGAAAGCAACUCUAAGAAAAUAUCUCUUCAAUUAGGCUAUCAAUUAGAUUGAAAAUAAGUUCAAUUAAGUUUGGUUAUAUUGUAACAAGUCAUUUGACCGGUGUAAUGCAUUGAUUAUAUAUAUAUAUAUAUAUAUAUAUAUAUUAGAGUUGUUAUUAAAAAAAAAAAAAAUUCGUGUUCCAUAAUUAUAAUCGGCUUAGUUUAUUUAUAUAAUAUUACAGAACUUAUAUACGAAAAUGUCCAUAAAAAAUAUUUUUCUCUAAAAUUACAUACAAUGAUCAUAAUAAUUAAUAUAAAAAAAAUUGGUAAAUAAUAAUUUUUUUUGGUACAAGUAUUAGAGAUAAUAUAUAAAAACACCUAUAAAAAACCACUUCCCUCAAAAGUUCACUAUCCAAUUCUUACUAAUUAAAUAUUUUCAACAAAACAUUUUGCGACGGGUCUCAAAAUACAAAUAAAUACCCAUUAAAAGGUUGUCCCUUUAAAAGAUCAUGAAUUGAUAACAAAGAAUAGUAAUUUGAUUUUAUUUCCAAAAUAAUACUAGAAAAUGAUCAUAAAAAUUUUCUUUAAAUAAAAUAAAGUGAUAGCAAUAAUUAUAAUAACAGUUUUAUUUUGUAAGAAACAACAAAAUAGUUUUGCGAUAGACCUAAAAUAUUAUACAUAAAAACACCCAUAAAAAACAUCUCCCCUCGUAAGAGCAUCAUCCAAUUCUUAUUAAUCAAAUAUUUUUAACAAAAAAAAAAAAAAAAAACUGUAAAUGACCUCAAAAAAAAAAAAAAGUUCUCCAUCAAAAGAUUCUUCCUUAAAAAAAAUCAUAAAUUGGUAACAUAGUUCACAAGAUUAUUAAUUCAAUUUGAUUCUCCAAAAUUUUAUUAAUUUUUAUACAAAACCACUUACAUUUUUGGAAACAUAUCUGAAAAUCCAAGAAUAGGAAUUUAAUUUUAUUUUACAAAAUAUCAUUUUUUUAAAAAAAUCACUAACAUUUUUUGUGUCAGGUCUCAAAAUAAUACAAAAAAUGCCCAUAAAAACUACCUUCUUCCAAAAUAAGAUAAAUUGACCACAAUAAUUAUUAAGAUUUUUUUUUUCAUAAAAAAAAAAAUAAAUAAAUAAAAACCGUCGCCGCCGCCAUCUCCCAUCUGCUUUGUCAUCUUCCCGAUGACAACCGUCGCCGCCGCCAUCUCCUCCCCUCCAUGACCACCACCCCCUAACCCCUCCCAUUACUGCCUCUCUCUCCCACUGCCUAUUUUACCCCGCCAACCUCUCCGGCCUUGUUUCUCUCUCCUCCCACCCAAAACCACCACCAUCACCAUCUCUUUUCACCGCCAUCAACACCCCCUCCAACCACCACGGCCUCCUCCAACCCCCCACCACCACCACUUCUCCCUCACCAUAUGCUGCCACCAUUUUACUUGAGUUAGAUCGACGAUUUUGAUCUACGACUCCAUCUCUCCCAAUUCCACAUAAAUCUGGCUCUGUACUUUGAGCUGAGCCAAACCAGCAGCCAGACCAGCUGAACCAGCCGAACCAGCAGCCAGACCAGCUGAACCAGCCGAACCAGCAGCCAGACCAGCCAUAUCAGCCGAACCAGCAGCCAGACCAGCCAUACCAGCCGAACCAGUAGCCAGAUCAGUCGUUAAAGCCAUCUAAGCCAUAUAAGCCGAGUCAAUAGCCUGACGGGCCGAGCCGAUACAUCUAGCCAAGCCAGCCGAACCAGCAGCUUAAGCCAGUCAGCCAGACCAGCUGAACCAGCAGCCAGACCAGCAGUUCAAGCCAGCCAAGCCAAGCCAAGCCAAAAAAAAAAAAAUUGGCUUGCUUGAUGGAGAGUAUCCAUUGUCCAUUUCGAAAUUUUGAUGGAUGCACCAAUGGACCGUGUGGAAAUGGAUACAAAUCUUCGUACAUCUCAACGCAUGUUAAGAAAGAUCACUUGAAGAGGGUUAAUGACAUCGACAGGCUGAGAGAUGCGAUCAAAGUUGAUAUAGGUUUAUUUUCGUCGCUUGACAAUACUUUGAAGAGGAUGAACAAAUGGAUGUGUGGUGAUUGUUUUGGUAUCCAUGCAUCGACCAUAAAAUGUAAACAUCCGGAUGAUGCAGUCAUCAAACCACCUGCGCGAAAGGAGACCGGUGAGUUAGAGUGUGCAAUUGUAGGUAUACAACCACCACAGCCUGUGCAUGUUGAUAAUCCACCCGCACUUACAGCAGGAGGGGACACUGGUAUCGAUACUCACCUUUCUAUUGUUGCACCUUCUUUAGAUGAGAUAUCACUUGAUCGUAUUUUCUGUAGACCUUUUCGCACAGUGAAAAGUAUUCCUCGUCCUUGUCGAUUAGCAUUUUCAUGUGCAUUGAAGUCAGUCUCGUAUGAGGUUACUGCAGACCCCAUGUCGACAGGGCCAUGGGUUAGAUUGCUCCUGCUUCCCUAUUGCACAUUGCAAGUGUUCCAUCCGUAGAAUCGCCAAGAGCGUCGUUCUGGUGCUCGGAAAUAUCUCCAGCAGAAUCAGAUUCUGCAAGCUCUCUCUAUUUGGAACGAGCCUGGGGGUAUAUUUCGUCUGAUUGAGAGGGUCACACACACAGAGCCUCCGUUGGAACGACCAUCUCGACAGUCCCAAAGCAAGAAUGUACGACGGUGUUUGCAAAAGGUUGCAGACGGGCACUUUGCAACAGCCGUGAAGGUGUUGGCAUCAUCAGGGGUUGCUCUGAACACUCCAGAGACGCAGCGGGCUUUAGAGGAUAAACACCCGAAGCGUCCACCACCAUCUGUCCCCGACAUUCCUUUACUUGAGUCACCUUUGUCAGUUGAGAGGGAUGGGAUAUUAUCAUGCAUCAGGUCCUUCCCCAAAGGGACGUCUUGUGGGCGAGAUGGUCUCUGGGCCCAACACCUAUUGGAUGCUAUGAGUGGGGCUGCAUCAGUUGUAGCCUCAGAUCUUAUGGAGGCCUUGACACCGGUUGUGAACUUAUGGCUACAAGGUCGAUGUCCACGGGUCUUGACAGAGUUCAUAGCUAGUGCACCGCUCACCCCACUUCUUUAGCCAGGUAACGGCAUUCGCCCAAUAGCUGUGGGUAUGGUUUGGCGUCGCCUGGUGUCUAAGAUUGCCAUGAGAGGAGUUUCUAAGGAUAUUGUCCCAUACCUAGAGGAUUUUCAGUUUGGGGUUGGUGUGCCUGGUGGAGCAGAGGCAAUUUUGCAUGUCGUUAAUCGGUUGGUUUAUGCCAACAAGGAUGACACAUCGCUUUCUAUGCUGCUUGUGGACUUUCAGAAUGCCUUCAACCUUGUUGAUCGGUCUGCUAUGCUACGGGAGGUACGCAAUCAUUGUCCAUCUAUUGCUCUAUGGGUCGAAUACCUCUAUUGUCAACCUGCUCGAUUGUAUCUAGGGUCUACUCAUAUUUGGUCAGCAGCUGGGAUACAGCAGGGGGACCCUUUGGGGCCUCUUCUCUUUGCUUUAGUCUUGCAUCCAUUGAUACACCGCAUUCAGUCAGAAUGCCACUUGGAGUUGCAGGCAUGGUACUUAGAUGAUGGUACUCUGAUUGGUAGUACAGAACAUGUGGCUAGAGCUAUUCGUAUCAUUCAGGAAAGAGGAUCAUCUCUUGGGCUCGUGCUUAAUGUGUCUAAGACAGAGUUGUUCUGGCCUUCCGUUGAUCCUGACUGCUCCUAUCCAGAUAUCUUUCCGGUUGGUAUAUCAUGUCCUCAGCGUGGGGUUAAGUUGCUUGGAGGGGCUGUAAGUAUUGAUGCAUCAUUUAUUGUGGGUAAUGUUCGUCAACGAGUGGAUAAGACACUUCAACUUAUGGACUUAUUACCACAGCUAAUGGAUCCACAGUGUGAGUUGGCACUUUUACGUUCUUGUAUGGGAUUGUCUAAACUCACCUUUGCUCUCCGUACUUGCCCCCCCUGAUUAUGUUCAGGAAACAGCCGAAUGGUUUGACCACAAGCUUCGUGCAGCCCUUCAAAAUAUUGUGGUUUCUGAUGGACCUGGUUUUGGUGAUCUACAGUGGCAUAUGGCAACCCUCCCACUACGUAUGGGUGGACUUGGUAUCUAUUGUGCUACUGAUGUUAUGAAGUUUGCUUUCGUAGCUUCACGUACGCAAACCAAGGAUCUCCAGGACCACAUUCUUCGAGGUUGUGACACUCCACCUAUGGGUAAUGUUUUCGAUACUGCCAUUGAUAGUUUACAUCCUUCUAUACCUGAUUUUGAUCUCAGUAAUCUUGCUCCAACUGCUACCGUCCCCUUCAGACCCCAACAUGUUUUGGCGGAAGCAUACUACAACAAGAUUAGUUCUGGUCUU
rnacentral:lncRNA from 1 species